rnacentral:lncRNA from 1 species
UGAGGAGGAUGGGAAGUUUGAAUAAUAAAGUGAAAACCAAUAAUUAAGAAAGCCAAUAACAGAUAUUUAGUUUUAUUUCAGACCAUAUACGUACGUGGUGGUCUCUGUUUCUUUAUGUACUUCUGGUUCAUUCGACUAUCUUAAUAAGAACUCCAUCCGGGAGGAUGGGAAAAAAUAAAUAAUAAAAUGUUAAAAUAUGUCUUUGACAUCCAUGUGAAAUCAUUUAUGGUGCUGUCAAAUUUUGAGAGCUACAUGGACAUUUUUUUUUUUACCUCUUGAGCAUCCUAGCAUAUAGCCCAACUAUUGAGUUGUAUGUUUUAUUAGUCAAAUUCGUAGCAGCCAUUUCCAUUCAAAUACUAUUCGUUCGAAGGCUUUCACAUGGAAGAAUUUCUCCUAUGAAUAGAGGGUUUGGCAAGGCAGUUGGUGUGGCACUUCUUUUUACGUCUAACCUCUUCUCAUUUUGAGUUUGCGUUUUUUUGUUUUCCAUUCACACUGUUGCUUUUCCUCUAGCAUUAAAUGCUGAUUGUCCUUUCAAACAACCCUAGUUUUGUUUGGAUUUUGAUAUGAAAAAAAAAAUCACACAAGUUUACUUUAAUCAUCUAUUUUAUUCUGCGGAACUCUAACCCAAUGAUGCUGCUCAUGUAUUGCCAAACAAAAACAGCAUAAUCAUCUUUCAUUGCCAACACACAAGCUGGGACAUUAAAGUUGAAGAUAAUUUUCGAAGCUUUGGUUGGAAAAAAAUGCUACGAUACCAUGUUAUUAGUCCAUGCUAUAUUCUCAUAAUUUCUCAUUUAUGAAUGAACGAAUAUCGGAUGCACAUUUUUUAUGAUGAACUUGUAAAAGUUCUUGCAAGAUAAAAUAAUAACCAUAAAAAUUACACUUUUACUGUUCAAUACUAUACUCAUAUUCUGCUACUUCAGCACAUAUAUGCUAUAUUUUUAUUAACAUUAAACUACAUUUUAUACAGUAACCUACCAACAAUUCUCUCCAAUUAUCCUAAUUUAAUAAAAAAUAACUAGCUCACAAUUAUUUUACAUAUUAUAAAAUUAUUUCCAACAUCAAUACUUACAAAGCAAACUUUACAAAAUAUUUUCAGACAAACAUACUAUUAACACGGGUCACAUAUGCUCACCCUGUGCGUAGCGCAGCCUCAGACUAGUAGAAAUUAUAUUGAAAGUCAACUAGCAAUAUAAAUUAUUGCUUCAAGUCUAUUUGCUUUAAAACAUUAAUCAUUUACGCAUACAUUAAGAGAUCAUAUAAUUCUUUCUGGCUGCGUUUUGAUUUUAAAAGCAUGGCUUUGACCUUUCUGUUCUUAAUUGUUGCUUGGUUCCUUUAAAUAUUCUCUUUUACAUCAUUUGUUCUCGGAUCAGCAUCUAGAAACUUGGAUAGUGAAAGUUAUAUUGUACCAAUGAAGUACAAAGUCCUCAAUCAGGCAGUCUUCAAGAUAUCAGUGUUGAGUCGUUCACGUAUUGAUCAGUGUUGAUUGUUCAAAGUAAUAUUUAACAAUUCAUCCUUUCUUUCUUCUCGUAAUCCUCACCUUUAAAGGUUUGCGGAGUUGAAGACGGUGACGUACUAAUUAAUCAACUGCAAAGUCCAAAGGAUUUGACUAACGGUUACAUACUCUCGUUAUAAGUGUUUAUAUUUUUACAAGACUAUAAUUAAUUCGGGAAAGCCUCGAAAUGCUAGGAUUGUAGUAACGGUAAAUAUAUGUAUUCAUAUAAUAAGUUAUGUGUAAUUUAAAUAUACUAACGAGUUACUACUAGGCACCCAUUAGAAAAUCAAAGUUCAAAUAAUAGAAAAUAAUUUGUUUUUUCAUUAUCGAAUCAAAUAAGGAUUUAGCCUAACAUUUAGGACAAAUAGUGGAUAACAUUUAGGACAAACCACAAUAACAAAAAAGAAAUUUUAUCUAAUGAUACAAUAUUUUAUAUUCAUUCUCAAGUUAAAUAGAGAUUUAGCAUGAAGAAAUUACUGAAGUAAAGAAUUGAUUUUAAAAGGUAGGAUAUGGGGUGUAGCUGAUUGGUGAAAAAAUCAAGCUUUACUUUUGCUUAUGGUGUUAGUUACUAACUACUAGGAUUAGAUUCCGGAGGUUGAAUUUGAUAAAGUUUUUGUACUUACGCCCUGUUUGAUAACCCAAUUCAACAUUUAAAUUUAAUAGAUUCAGAUUUUAACAUAUUUAAAUGCACUUAAUAACUAAAAAUUGAACAUCUGAAUUAAUUAAUAUUAAACAAAACUUGCUUCCAAAAAUAGAUGAUAAACUAUUUACUUAUCACUUAUUAUGAUAUAUAUUCAAAUGUAUCAAAUUUAAUACUUAAUAAUUCAGUAACUUAAUGGAUUCAAACUUUGGUUCUCAAUUUUUAGUUUUCAGCCUUCAGUUUUAUCAAACACACUCUUAGAAUCUGAUCAAUUAGAAGUACCACGCUUUUCUAAGAUAAUUGCCGAUUAAAACUGCUAAUUUACUGGUUUCCCUAGUUAGGCUCAUAAUGAAAAUGAAAAUGGCAGAAGAAAAAUUUUGAAGUACCAUAGUACAACUACUAGCAUGACUAUCAAUAAUCUCCAUGUAAUUAGUUGAAACAUAGGAAAAAAUACAGAGAAGAUAGCACUUAUGAACAAUUUUAAUAACCAGGAAAAAAAUAUUCAUUUUUCUUUUUUGUCAAUUUAAUAAUGGUUUGACCGGUUCAAGAUUUUCGCUUAUUUGCUAAAUUAAUCGCUCUGAACUAACAACCAGAGAGUAAAUUGACUCUUUCAGGUACCAAUGGUUGCUUGAUUUAGAAAUCAAUACUAAAUAUAAUUCUCUUUCUUGCUUCUUUUGGCUUUUGAUAUCUAAAAAAUGAAAACCUAGAUAGCUGAAAUUGAUAUUGUCUGCCAAAACCGAAGUGAUUGGUUGUAUUUAUUAGCACUAGGAAUGGCAUUUCUCCUCAAAAUUGAUACCUUUUUAUUUAACGUUUGUUACCUACAUUAUUCAUUGGAUGUCAUUUGCGGACAUGAUUUCGAAAAGUCCAAUUUAAACUGCAUUAUUGACUCAAUCGAAUAUUAGAAUAGGCAAGGAGCCCCGCACCUAAAACACAGUGGGAAGACUUCAGCUUUUUAGUCUCCCAUCUCAACUUCGAAGCUUUUUAGUCUUCUGACAUUUUCUUACGAAAGUAAAAAUUCGGCAAAUAAAUCUAAAUUCCCGAGCAAUCUUCAAAAGUCGGCAACUUUUGAAGACGUCCAGAGGACUUAUCUAUCCAACCCAUCCCCCCAAGACCGAUGUGGGAUUCAAAAGCUUUUUAGUCGAUCUUCAGCCUUUUAGCUUUUCAGACUUCCAUCUCAACCUUUUCCAUCAAUUUGACCAAGAUGUCAUUAGUCUUCUCAACGUCCUUUCCUAUCAAUUCUUAUUUCUUAGUUUUCCUUGUGAACAACUACCAAUUCCAUGUGUUUAGUCAACUUAGCUUAAUAAUAAUAAAGAUUAAAAAACUCCGCUUUAACUAUGAAUCUGUCUAACGAGUGCAUAAGAACACAAUAAUGCUGUAGUAAUUUUCAAAUAAAAAUUUUAGAUAAAAAUUUCAAUUUUUGCUUUGUUUGCAUCAUACACACAAUUUCCAAUACCUAUCUCACAUACAUCACAUCACAAAAAAUGCUAUAUUAAUUUUUUCAAAUAAAUAUUUCAAAUAACUUCCUAUUCAAACAAAAAUUUGAGUGGACCUGCAAAUGUUUAUUUGGGGCGAAUAAGGGCACAAAGAGCAUUAUCUGUUAUACCAAGUGCUGUAGAAAUAAAAGCGUGUUAGAAAAUUUUGAACGUCUUAAGCAAGAUAGUAAAAUUUUUUUAUUCAUAUAAUCUUAAACUCUCAAAAUUUCACCAUUGAAUAAGGGUUAUAGCACGUAGUAAUUAAUAGCAACUCUUGCCUUUGGCAGAUAUGUAAUUUUGCCUCUCAUUGACAUCUGCCCUAGUUUUUUAAAUGAAAAGGAAGACGAGACUAGAACCUUUUGAACCUUAACUAUCGGUUUUUUUUUUUGCCCCAUCAGAGGAAGGGGUGGAACGUAAGAAGCGGGGAAAAGGUAUGAGAAUUAAAAUCCAAGACCUCUAAUUCUUGAAAUCUGAACUUGUUAGGUUAAUUUUAGAGAAAAUCGUUCAAAACGUCCUUUACAUUUUACAAAAUGACUUUUUUUGUCCCUCACUUUUAAAAGUGUAAUUUUAUAUCCCUUCCAAAUUCACAUUGACCAAAUUUGAUCUCUACGUAGGUUUCCGACUAGUUUUUGGCCAGAAUCCACCACAUGACUUGCAUGUGAUCAUUUUUUGAGGGCAAAAUUUUAAAUCAAAUUUUUCCAUAAUUUGAUUCAUUGUCUCUCACAUUUCACAAAAUGAAUUUUUUCGUCCCUAACAUUUUACAAAAUGAAUUGUUUCGUUCCUCAUAUUUCAAAAAAUGAAUUUUUCCAUCCCUCACAUUUUUCAAAAUGAAUUUUUUUCAUCCCUCAUUGAUCAUGUGUACGAAUAGCUUUUUUCUAUAAACCCACGUAUAUGUCUAUUUGAUUUUACCUGAACAGUAUGAAUAACAUGUAAUUUAUUUCUAUUGGAUUUCAUCUAAACAUGCUAAUUAUAGCUAUACACAUGCUAUUCAAUAGAUGUAUAUAGGGGUUUAAAACUAAUAAUUUUGUUUGAAACCCACGUAUAUAUUUAUAUGAUUUCAUCAUUUGAACCUAUUCAAUAUUUGUGACCUUUCUCUUUUGGUGAUAAUUUAUUUAUUGAGUUGUAUAAUAAGGUCAUCUAAUUAAUAGGUUCUAACUCGAAUUCUAUAAUUGUGCUAACAAAUUUCAGUUUAAAUCUGAAAUUUCUACUCGACAUUUUUAAGACCAACAGUUGAAUUACUUGCCUUGUGAUUGUCUUAAAAUUUGAAAGUGCCAAUCUUUUUUUUUUUUUUAACCCAUAAAUUCAAAUCUAUUUCUGAACUGUUUUUUUAAUAUAGACACAUAGCGUAUUUACUUUGCAUGGGUCUUCAAGGGAUCCAUUAUUAAGGCCUCAAUGGUCCAUAAAUUUAACAUGUAAAUACCAUAUCCAGAACUGCUCACACUAAUAGCUUAAAUUAUUUCCCAGUGAAUACCAUCAUUACCCUUGUGAACACCAACUUAAUUAGGAGCUUUAGAACACCUAAACAUCAAGACAUUUUUUUUUUCAACCAAUGUGGCUACUUUUUUAUUAAAAGCAAGAAAACCAAAGAACACAGACUUCAAUGAGAAACAGCUCGAGAACGAAUAACAGGAGUCUGCGACCUAUCUAACCCUAAGGCCCCCUUGCCAAUCUUGGCAACUCAGACUGUGACGUAUACAAAAUAAUCCCCUCAGACUGUGCCCCCACCUUGGCUAAAGCAUCCGCCACUUGAUUCAUUUCCCGAUAACAAUGCCCCACCGUCCACUCCACACCCUGCAUUGCCAGUAACGCAUCUAGAUCCGAUCGAACUAACCACAGACACCUCCAUUGUCUUACCAGUAGGUUGACUAACACAAGAGAGUCCACCUCCACCCGAAUCCGCGAGAAUCCCCGAAGACAGCACUGUUGAACCCAAACACCAAAGCCUUUAUCUCCGCUUGAAGACAAGUCAGCUCCCCAAAAGGAACAGAAAAUCCAAACAACAAAGCACCAGAAGAGUCCCUAAGCACACCACCCCCGCCACUAACGCCCGGUUGCCAAGCGAACACCCAUCGGUAUUUAACUUGAAGAUCCCCUGGGCUGGGAAUUCCCAACAAACCACUCUAUGGGAAUAUCGAGGCCUCCACCCAGAGAUGCUGGAGUAGACGCCGGCCAGGAGCCAACCCCAGUAAACUCACCUGCAAACUUCCUGGAAAAUAGCCCUACGACAUCUACCAGGAUACGAUCACAAAUGGUCUGUCGCUGCAGGAGCUGCCCAUCAAAAAUUGCAAGAUUCCGUGCCAACCAAAUAUGCCAGCAAAUAAUGGAAGGCAAAACCGAGUGUAAUGACUCCAUACGAGAGUGCUGAACCGGUAGGCACCACCAAGCCGCCAAACGCGACCGCACCCUUAAUCCUCUAUACCUCACUCCAGCGCCAUUUCCAAAAAAGGUCCACAAAAAUUGAGCUAGCUCACCUUCCGCAAAGACGUGCUCCAACGAUUCAGAUUGUGAGGCCAAGCAGCAAAAACACUUGGAUGGACCAUACACUUGCAAUCUUCCUAGUGACGCCAUCGGUAACCGAUCCCGCAGGAGCCUUACCAUGAAGAAUGAUAUCUUGAUUGGGAUUACAGAGUGCCAAACCCUAUCAAACAUGAAACGAGGGGUCUGGCUACCAACCAGCGCGUAUGUGGAAGCAAUGGAGAAAUCCCCUGACUCCGUCAAAGCCCACACCACGAUCGUCCGCGGACCCCACUGGGACAACUUUAGUAACUAUCUCUGAGACUAUGUCAUCAGGAACCCAAAGCCGCAACAACUGUUGAUUCCACCUUCCAUUCAAUACGAAAUCCCUAACUAAGUGAUCAGAAACACUUUGUAACCGUUGACACAGAGGACCAGAACCCAUCCAAUUGUCAAACCAGAAAUUAUACUGUCCCGACCGCAACUCCCACCAAAGGUUUUGCUCCGCCACCUCGCGGAUUUGAAGCAAGCGCCUCCACAUAUAUGAACUGCCUUGACCCGCCCCUACCAUGCAUGGAUGACUCUGCCGACAAUAUUUGGAUCUCAUAAAUGUCGCCCAUAAACACUCACCCGUACGGAACCGCCACCACAAUUUGAGCGAGAACGCUGUAUGAACAUCCAGUAACGACCGAACACCAACCCCCCUUGUGACGAGUCGGCACAGAGGUCUGCCCACUUGAUCCAAUGAUGUCGGAGGCCACCUUCACGCUCCCCCAGAGAAAAUUUGCCAUAGCCCGUUCAACUAAGGCUAGGACUCCCUUUGGAGGACAUGAAGCUGCCAAUAAAUGAAUUGGAAUUGCUGACAGUACGUGUUUGAUGAGUACAAUCCGACCCCAUUGGAUAGAAAUCUGGAACUCCAUGAUGAAACUUUAGAAAUGACUGACUGUACCAGCUCCAUGAAAUAUAGGCACUUCCGGCGCCCCACAAAAAGCGGACAUCCCAAGUAACGCACAGGAAACGACUUAAGACCAAACCCAGUUACCCGUCGAACCCUUGCCACACAUUGCCUAGGCAGUUUAGCAUGCACCAUGAACCCACACUUCUGAACAUUAAUCUCCUGUCCCGAAACUGCUUCAUAGUUCUCAAUUGUCUGCAUAACACAGAUCAGUGAAGAGGAUGAAGCACCCGAAAAAACCAGGACGUCAUCUGCGUAACUGAGAUGAGUGAUCUUAGGACAGCCCCCGGAACAGAAAAGCACUUGAACCCCGAUGCUCCACUAGCUUGUUUAAAGAGCGGGACAACACCUCCGCGCCAAUAAUAAACAAACCUGGAGAUAAUGGGUCCCCUUGACGAAGCCCUCGCGUAGACUUAAAGAAACCUACACUGGCCCAUUGAUUAGAACCGAAAACCACACAUUCGAGACCAAUCUCCAAAUCCUAUCAAUCCAUUGCUCCCUAAACCCAAAUCUUCUCAAGACCAUUGUCAAAAAGAUCCAUGAAACACGAUCAUAAGCCUUUGCCAUAUCUAACUUCAGAGCAACAUCGGCAUUUCUGGAGGUCCUCCCCAUAUUAGAAAGCAACUCUUGUGCAAGCAAGAAAUUAUCCGAUAUAAGCCCCCCGAACAAAUCCACUCUGCUGUGGGAUAUGAUUUUUGGAAGGACUUGGGCCAAGCGAUCGGCCAAAACUCGCGAAAUUAACUUGUUAACAAAGUUACACAAGCUAAUCGGCCGGAAUUGUGAAAAAUCCUGUGGGUGCCCCACCUUAGGAAUGAGCGCAAUGGAAGUCGCUGUAACAGCACGAGGCAACUCAGCACCGCAGAAAAAACUACAAACUGCGCUAACCACAUCCGCACCAACAACUGACCAUGCUGCCGUAAAGAAUUUACCCGUAUAUCCAUCCGGCCCCGGUGCACUCUCCCCAUCCAUUGCGAACACCGCACUUCGAAUCUCCAUCUCAAAGGGAAACUGCUCCAGCAAAUCAUUCUCCUCAUCAGUCGAAAUUGUUGGAAUAUGAUGAAGCAAUUCAGAGGAAGAUGUUGGACGCUGAGCCGUAAACAACCCGAAGUACGAACCGCCUCUGCUCCAAUCCCCUCGUCCGAUUCCACCCACUCCCCUUGGCCAUUUCUAAUCCUGUGAAUGAUCGAACGUACCCUUCUAUUUUUGACGACAGAAUGAAAAAACCUUGUAUUUCGGUCUCCCUCCUGAAGGCACCUAACCCGAGCCUUCUGCUUCCAAAACAACUCCUCCACUCUCAAGGCCGCCCGCAACUGACCUUUGGCAAGAUGUAGCUGCACCCUAGCAGCAUCUGAAUCAUCACUUUCUACACGGAGCUCCGCCAGCCGUACUUCCUCUUCCUUAGUCCACUUAUUUCUUUUUGUCAUGCUUUUCUUUUGUUUACUUUUUCUAUCCAAAUUUAAUUCGAUAUAAACACUCGAUAAUAUUUAGGAUUAAAUGUCAUCUUUAUUUUCAAAUUUCGAGUAAAAGAAAAUGAAUAUAAGUGAAAAACUAACAAUUUUUUUAAACACAUGUAUAUAUCUAUUUGAUUUCACUUGAGCAGUACGAAUAGUAUGUAAUAUAUCUCUAUUUGAUUUCAUCUGCUAUUCGUACUGUUCAAGUGAAAUCAAAUAGAUAUAUACAUGGAUUUAAGAAAAAUUUUGCACACACAUGAUCAAUAAAAGAUGAAAAAAUUCAUUUUAAAAAAUGUGAAUGAUGAAAAAAUUCAUUUUGUGAAAUGUAAGGGAAAAUUUUUAUUUUAUGAAAUGUGAGAGAUUAUGAAUCAAAUUAUAUAAAAUUUCAUUUGACAAUUUUGCCCUUAAAAUAUGAUCACGUGCAAGGCACGUGUGAAUUCCGACCAAAAACUAGUCGGAAACCUAAGUAGGGACCAAAUUUGACCAAUAUGAAUUUGUAACGGACGUAAAAUUAUAUUUUUAAAAGUGAGGGACGAAAAAAGUUAUUUGCAAAAUGUGAGGGACGUUUUGAACAAUUCUCCCUUAAUUUUAAAUUCAUAUCAAACAUAAUUUGUCAAUAGAGGCAUACCGUUUUGCAUUAGAUACAAAAAUUAAAAUGUUCUAUUUGCAGUUUAAUUAUCCUUUGUUUCUGCAUAAUUUGGUAAUUGACUUGAUAGAUUCAAGAUGUUGGCUACUUUGCUUUAACACGUUGAAUUUUGUAGAAGUCAAAAAUUAACCAAAAAUUAUACGAUAUAUAUUUGAUAAAAACUCAUAUAUAUAUAUAUUAUAUAUAUAUAUAUAUAUAUAUAUAUAUAUAUAUAUAUUAUAUAUGGGGAUAACUUACACACAUACAAGUAUGUGUAGGAGAAAGAGGAAUAAAUAUCAACAAUAUAUCGUUAAUUAUAUAUAAUAACAAGACUCUCAAAUUUCACUCUUUUCAACUAACCAUAAUAAUAGGACUUCUUAUUUAUAGACUAGAUAACUUGUUACACAUAAUAACAAGACUCUUAAAUUUUACUCUUUUCAACUAAUCAUAAUAGUAGGACUCUUUAUUUAUAGAUUAGAUGAUUUGGUAAACAAGUUUUACAACUGCAAGAAAUUUUUUAAUAAAAUAAAACUUCCUAAACACUAAAACUACUAUAACUUGACUUCAACAAAAUUACUAAAAACUUGAUUUGACUAAAACACUACCAAAUAACAAUAUAGAAACUUAUAUUUUUUUAGGCUUGAUUUAGUAUGCCAAUAUUGCUUUCCUUAAAUCAAGCUCUCUAUUGAAUUACGUUCAUUGCAAUCACGAACAACAAUCUCCUUUGUAAAUUUUGUUAACAUCAAUUUGAAUUCUUCAUCUUCAAAGGUUUUUUUUGCUGGCAAUACUCCACACUCCUAGACAAAUUUAUCUGAUCGCUCGAUUUAUUUUGACUCAUUAAAAUAAUCCAUGUUUCCGGAUAGACUGUUCUCAUCGCACAAUUUGAUAUCAACCUAUUAACAAUGCACUUUGUGAUUUUAAUAAUCACAACUCAACGGACAGGAUUCUGCAAUCUCUGUUUUUCCACCAUAAUCAAUCUGAAAAUUCUCUUAAACCAAUAUUGUAGCCCAAUCUUCACCAACUGGAUACUCCAUGAUCAAUCUUGUGGUCUAACUCAAUCAACUGAGUGUAUUUCUGAGUGUAUUUCUUCCUUUGGUCCUUCAUGUCACAUGAUUUCCACAUUAAAUCAUCAGCAAUCAUGCAAGCAUCUCCUCACUUCCCUUCAAUUGAUGAUUGAAUUAUCAAAACCUAUAAAAAAAACAUGAAAUUUCCGCACUUAAGUCCAUAGAAAUGUGAGUUUUCUCACUUAACCACAAAAUGCAAAACUUAACUAAAAAUCUAGUUAUUCAACUUCAACUUAAAUGAAAAUACACUAAAAUGCACAUAAAUAACCACUUACAAAUAUGCAAAUCAAGCUGAUAAGUGACUAAUUUACGUAAUAAUUGUAUGAUAUUUUAUAUUAUUUUUAGUCACUUUAGUUAUAUUAUUGGAAGAAAAUCAUUUUGGCUAUAAUUGGUGAAUAAAUGUUUUUAAGUGAUUAAAUGAGGUUUUAUCACUUUUUACUUGGAUUUUGUGUAUUUUGACAGUUUUGACACAUUUUCGUAUUUCGGCUAUAACUUGAGCUACAAUGAUCGGAUUGGGAUGAUUCUUGAACCCAUUUGAAGAUAAGAGAUAGAUCUACAACUUUGGUGAAGACAUCUGAAUCCAGUUUGAAGGUUUUCCAGGUCAAAAGGCCGAAGUACAGAGUCAAUUGCUAUUGGUCGAAACUGGAACAAGGCAUGGAGCAGGCAAGGGUAUUUCAGUCAUAUCUCAGCCUACACAGAUCCAAAUGAGGUGAUUCUUGAUGCAUUAGAAAGAUAAAUCAAAAGGCUACAACUUUUGUGUUUUAGACAUGAGCUGGUUCAGCCUCUAACAUCAAGAAAAGAUCGGUUGAAAUUGGGCAAAAAAACAGAGCAAGUGAUCCACACUCGGAUCCACUAUUCAUCCGAACCCUCGUUGUUUCUGUAAGUGGAACCGAGCUCGGAUCCGUAUGGAUCCGAGGUACUAUAGCAGCUCGGAUCACUGUAGCAGCCCAGAUUUACUGUAGCAAUCCGGCCGGAACUUGGCCGGAUUUAGAGCCGGAUUUAUGGCCGAAUUGCGGUCAGAAAAGGCUGCUCUGUACGCGUAAAACUCAAUUUCACUCCCACCAACUCACAUGCGAUGCUAGACAUGUGAGAGACAUUACCAGCUGUAAGGAGAAAGUGUAAAGCUUCAUUCCUUGACCAUUUUCAUCAUUAAAUAGCCAAAUUCAUUGUAAGAGAGAAAGAGAGACAUACGGGAGAAGCUUGGAGUGCAGAGAUGUAGCUCUUGCAUUUUCUGAGUAGUAGCAGUAGGUUAGUAUAGAGUAGAGUGUUAUCCAUUGUUGUUUAUUAGCUAGAUGAAGAAGAAGAUGGAGGAUGAAGAAGGCAAGGAGAUGAACUCAUGUGACAAGGGUUACAUUCCUUCCAAACUCUUUAUCUUUUGUACUUGAUUCCAAGUUUGGUUAAUAUACAAGUUUUGGAUUUUGUGUUCAAUAUGUGUCUCUAAAGUUUAUGCCUUGGGUUUGGUUGAACUUUCUAUAAUUGUUAGUGUUUAUUAUUUGGUUAUUUGAUUGCUAUGAUUUGAGCAAGUUAUUUAGCACUUUGGCUCUUUAAAUAAUGAUUAAUCUGGUACCAUUGAUUGUGAUUAUCUAAGGUGUUGUUUCUGCAAUGAAAAUUGAGAUUUAACACUAGUUCAAGAAGUGCUAAACAUAAGGAGUACACUCACGAAAGUAGAGGUGCGCUUAUGUGGUUUUUAGUGAUUCAUUUCAUGUAAUUUCAUUGAAGAAAUGAACUUGUAGCUAAUUUCAUAACCAUGAGAAUAGGUAUGGAUUAGUUAUAAGUAUAAUUGAUUCACUACGAAAGUAGGAUUCAAAUGCAUAAGGAAAUUACACCAUAACUAGCCUAGAUGUAGUACUCAAUGAUCCAAAUAUAGCACUUGCAUGAGUAGUUAGGGAUACCACAACCCAAGGAGCUUUUAUUUGUUAUUUUGUAUAAUUUCAAUAGGUUAAAUUUGUUAUAAUUCAUUGAUAGUCUAAAUAAUAGAGAAGCUUUAAUAAUACCGGUAAUUGUUCAAUCUUCCUUGUGGGAUCGACCCGAUAUAUACCCUAAACUACUAGUUGACAUGUAUACUUGCAGUGAACGGGUGUAAUUCGGUUUUUUAACUUGUACGUAUGUAAAAUACCCGUCACAAGCACUUAUCAUUUACCUUGCUUUGACUCUAUCAUAUAUGCAUCUUGUAUCUUUAUAAUCAUUCUUCCACUAUUCUUGUAAUUCAUCAUUACCAAUCACUCUGGAAAGAAUAAAAUGUAAAGGCUACACAUCUACGAAUAAAAAAAUUGUGAUUUUCGGUGUUCAUUUAUGACUAAUACUCUAUUUUUUUAUUCAGGCCAAUAUAGUAUAAAUAGUAUCUAAUAUUGGUUGAAACUUUCUUUUGGUGGUCCUCUGUUUCCUUUUGGUAUAGUGUUUACUUAAUUGUAAUUUUAAGUCAUAUAUAUCGUACACAAAUGCAACGAAACUCUAUACUAGCAGAAAGAGGUAAAAGUUGAUUUGUCAUGGAAGAUUUGUCUAAAUGUAAUUGAAGGGGUCAGGAACUAAGUAAGUUAUAUAUGUUGGUGGUAAAGUAACAAUUAUUGUUAAAAGAUUAUUGUCCUACAUAAUUUUCAUAACAAUUUUUUUAGGUGUGGAGGGGCUUUUCUUUCUCGCCCCCGUUGUACGUCCUUGUCCGACUGAGAUUACUUCAAAAGAAAUAUUUCUGGUCUGAAAAUGAGAAGUUUCAUUUUGUUGCAUACAUAAAUCAUUAUACACUGUCAUUAAAAAAAAAAUUUUUGAUAUGUUACCAAGUCUAAAUGUACGGUAGUCUUUAUUUUUCAUAUUUUUAUUUUACAUAUGAUGUGCAUCCAACUUGCUUUAUGUAAAAUAAUCUUUUACUUAGUUUAAGAAAAUGUAAUCCUUCUCCUAUUUAACCACCACAACUAAUAAAAGGUGACAAAAGCCCUUUUCAUCUAUUUUUUCUUAACAUGGUUAAGAACUUCUGUUUUAUUGAGCAUUAAACUAAAAGUGCAAUUCGCCAUUUAGAUGGUCAAGAUGGAUAAUGGUUUGGCCACAGAAUGGUUAGUUAAGUCCUUAUAAAACGGGAAGAAUGGAGUACCAUGUUAUCAGGAAAGUCAACUUUUGAGCUCUUCAUCAAAUUUACUGCUGAAUCGUAGAUAAACAUAUGUGGAUUGGAUGGAGCAUCAUAUUAUCAGGAAAGUCAACGUUUGAGCUUUUUAUUAUUUUUACAGUAGAUGAAAUUCUUGACUAUCAACUUUGAAUGAUAUAUUUGCUGAGUAUACCAUUCUAUACAAACCUAUUUUGAUAGGUGACCACCCAUUGGCAUUUAAUUCUCUCUUAAAACUUUUUAUGCUCUACCUAACUCUUAGAAAUGUAAUCCUAUUUCAUUCAAACCAUUUAUACGCACAAAAAUCAAAAGCCAAGAUUGAUUUAGCUAUUAAGUGUAAGUUAACCUUAUUAAAGUGAUAGAAGUUCAAAGGUGCAAAGUGGAUUUAAUUCUUUUUUUCAGAACCUUGUCAAACGUGUUUCAUUGCUUUUUAUUUCUUUUUAGGCAAAAGUGUUUCAAGACUUCAAGGUUUUUCAUUAUUCCACUAUAUAACAAAAGAAAUUCUUGACUAUGAACUUUGAAUGAUAUAUCUACCGUGUAUACUGUGAGAACCCGAAAUUUUCUCAUUUUUUUUUCUAGGGUUUUAUUUAUUUAAUGGCUUGUUUUCUGCAUUUUCUUUAGUAGGGAAAUUUUCUAGAUAUUUUUAAUGAGCAGAUAUAGUUUUUGGAUGAUUUUUCUAGUAUCGAAUAGGUUUUGGAAAAUUAAGAGUGUAUACCGGACGUGGGACCCACUAGUGCGAAAAGUUCGGAAAAUUUCGGCCAACUAGGUUAAGUUUUGAAUAUUGGAAUUAAUUUACCGGGUUGUUAAGUAGAUAAGUGGAUUGGUAUAAGAGAGACAAGGUAGGUAAGUAUUUAUUAAAAGGUGACAAGUGUCACCAUAGGAGUGGUUUGACCUUUUUGAACACUAUUCACCCUUUUACCAAUUUGGUUAAAAUAGCUUAAAAAUUACCCAAAAAUCAUCAAAAAAUCCUCCAUGGUGGCCGGCCCUCUCAUUCUCUCUUUCUCUCUCUCUUACUCUAAGCACAAGGAAGAAAACUCUUCAAGUUUGUUCCAAAUCAUCAAAACCAACCAUCCAACCUUGAUUUUGCUCCAUAAAACCACUUAAGGAGGUGUUGGUGAGUUGUUGUGUGAAGUUAUUUGGAAAGUUAAGGUGUCCAAUAGCUCUCUCUCUCUUGUUUUAAGGUAAGUUGUGAAGAACCACCCUCCUCCCUUAAUUGAUGCUUAAAUCAUGCUUAGUGGUAGUAUGAGAUGCAAGUUUAUGGGUUAUUUCUUGAUUUGUGGUUGAAGUGAUGAAGUUUUAUUAUUUUUGGAGAUUUUUUUCUGUUUUAAUAUGAGCAUGAUUGUGUGGCUAUCUAUGAUGAUUAGAAAUGGUAUAUAAUGACUCUAGGAGGUGGAAAAAAUGAUUAAUUGCAACCAAUUUCUGGUUUGGAAGAAAUUUCAGAAAAUUAGGGUUCUUGAGGGAGCAUUCUGCCCGAAUUUUUAGCUCCUAGUUAGAGGCCGAAUUGGCCUUGGUUUAAAACAUGAAAGUUGUAGGGAAUGACAUUUUAGAGGUGCCUACAAAAUUUCAGGUCAAUCGGAGUAGUGUAGAAUGAGAAAAGUCGAAAUUACUAUUGCUGUUCUGGUUUUACCCGAAUGUAAGAAUUGCGCCUGUAAUUGGUUGUUUUGGCUGGAAUUGCUUCCUAAUUGGCUGUUCAGGCCUUCUGAUGAAAUUUAUCCCUGUUUCUUAGCUUUCAGAUGGUUUUGGAAUUUCUGGAUUUGGACUUAAUUAGGCUGAGUUAUGCUGUUUGCAGCAGAAUGCGUUUUGUGAAUCUGUUUUUCCGGUUCUGGUAUAGUAUAAUGCAUUUUUGACCUUGUUACACUCAAAACUGGACAAAAUCGCCUUCUGAAACAUUGUAUCCCUGUCUCUUAGCUUCGAAACGGUGGGUCUUACACCCCCAUCCGAUAAUUGUAGUGCCGUUGGUGCUAAAACCGCAUAAUGACGUCAAAAACUGUUUUUUUAAUUGAAGUCCAAUUGCAUUUCCGGAUUUUUCUGAUUUCCUCUAAUGCUUAUGUAUGCGUAUGGAACCCUAUUUUGGGAGUAUUUGGCAUUGGUUUAUGACUCGUUAUCGAGUCUCAUUGUACUUGUUUGCAUGUUUUAGGGCGUGACGGUAAUUAAAGACGCCUUUUGGGCAGAAGUUCACGAUAUUCCACUUGCUUGCUAUGUGAGUAUACUACUCACUUGUUUGUUUACAAUGUGCUUUAUUAUAUUGAAAUUAACGCCUUGAAGGCUUAUUUGCACUGUUGAAACUGAUUAAAGUGAGGGUGUACUUGAUCGCCCUCACAUCCUUUGAUAUUGUUGAGGAUUGUCUACUGUUUCACUGUAAUGACUGAAUGAUACAUGAAAUACUAAAUUCCAUUCAUGGAAAACUGAUUUGGUGUCGUUUGGACGAGUAUCCAACGGCCUUACUGUUACUACUGAGCUCAACCCCGUUGGUAGUCAAUUGAAUCGAGCCGGCGAGGGCUUGGUCGUGAAAAUUGACAGCCAUGGGGACUGUUAUAUGGAAUCUUGUAGUAGUGAGACUCUCGAUUCCGGUAUACUCGAGUAUUACCAAAUGGCUACUGUUUGGAGUGCGGGCCCGGUAGGGGUAUGUUGGGUGGAAAGAAUGGAAGUGAAGUGAAGUCUACGGUUGGUUAUUCUUAAACAUUGACGGAGGGUCAAUGAGGUUCGAUCAAGAAUGUAAGCGUGGAAAUGGGCUCUUGAGAGCCGUCCGUAUCCUUUUACCGAUUUGUUUUACUUCUUAAUAAAGUAAUUGGAAUGAAGGUUAUGCUUAUGUGAUCUUGGUUGCUUAAGUGAUAGUAUCUCACUGGGCAAUUAGCUCAUGACGGGAUUUUUACUAUCAAUGCAAGUUUAAUUCCGAUUUACACCCGUUGGACUGCAAGUAUACAGGUCGCAAUUGUAGUACAAGAUGUGUAUCGGGUCGAUCCCACGAGGAGCAAUUUAAACAAUUACUAAGCCCUUGUUUUCUCUAUUAUUUAGACUUACAAUUAAUUUGAGCAGAGAAAAUAUAAUGCUGUAAUCUACAACUCUGAUAUACAAAUCUAGUUUAACAAAUGCUAAUGCAAAUAGCGAAAAUUCACUUAAGGAAGAUUCUAGGGAUGUAGAUUCCACUUAUGGCAUAAACAACACAAAUGAAUGGAUUUACUUCUUGCUAUUAUUCUUGUUUAACCAGAGAUUCAUUUCCAAAUUACCAAGUCUCAUUUUCAUGAUGAAAUGGCCUAGAGCAAUAUAGAUUUCCCUAUUUUCAUGGUGAAAUACUACUACUACUCUGUUUUAUUUCAUGAAAUGCUCAAUAAUCCACCUAAGUGUAUCUCUAUUUUCAUGAACAUACAACUCAAGCUCUACUCAUGUGUUUCAAUUGUUAUUACCAAUUCUCAUUGAAUAAUAACACUAUAAACAUGCUAUUGGUGAUCAAUCAAUAACAAGUAAGAACAGCUACACAAGUAGACAAGUUAAUCAAGAUAUAACAAGUGUAAAUCACAUUCAAUUAGUAUUAUUUAGCCAUAAGUUUCAUCUACUCCCUAGAUAUAGAAAAUUAGCUACUCAUGAAUGAUUUAACAAUCAAACUCACAAGUUUAUUAAUGCAAAACAUCAUAAAUACAAGUAUAAGAAAGGUAAAAGAAAGCUUAGCCAAUUGAAGGUAAAGCUCUCCAAUUCCUGCUAUGUUCUUGUACAAGAUGAUUACAAGUGAAAAACCAAAUGCUUCUCUAAGAACUCUUAACUAGAGAGAAAAUUGUUGCAAGAAGGAAAACUAGCUACGUAUGGUAUCCAGGCUUCUCCCCUGUGUUUCUGCAUAAAAGGUGGUAGAAAUUCCAUUCCUCUCACUUCAUAAUUUCCUCCACUCAGAUUUUGUAAAAAGAAGUCAAAGAUAUGAUGUUUCCUUUUGUCCACACUCAUUUGGUCUUCUCUUUUAUUGCAGAAGCAUGUGCCACCGAUUUCUGUCCCUCAAAAUAGCUGGAAAAGUUGUGAGAAAGGUAAAGAAAAACGGCUGUGCCACUUGCUGAAGAGAGAGACAGAUCCGAGCCACGGAUCCGAGGGUGAAAAAUGGAUCCGAGCUCGGAUUAUAGGAUCCGAGGACUUCCCAUGAUGAUCCGAGGUCGGAUCGUCCUGACCUCGGAUACACUCCGCCAGAAGUACAGACGAGGGGUCGGAUCCCUCUUGUACACACGGAUCCGAGCUCGGAUCCGUGUUGAGCAAUUUUCCAGUUUUUCACUUCUUCCCUUUUUCUACAUUUUUGCUCCCAAUUUCUUGUGUACUUUGUCCUCUGGAUGACCCUGACAUUUCUUUCAACUUGUGCAUGAAUUUCAUACAUCAAUUACCUUCACAAUUUCACAAAAUUAACGCAUUAAUCCACUCAUUUAUCAAUUUCUUAACCUUAAACAAUAUUUAAGCAAUUAUCACCAAAAGAGUUCAAAUAUGGCUUUAAUCUUCUCAAAACAUACCAAAAAUUCAUGCCAAAUUCGUACAAAAUGUACGUUAAAUAUUCACUUAUCAAAUUCCCCCACACUUGAAUCAUUGCUUGUCCUCAAGCACUUUUACACAAAACUUACUUCAAUGAUUCAAUAGAUAAAGCAAUAUACGUACUUUUGUCAAAUUUAAUUCCUAGAAAAUCUAGAAACCAAUCAUUAUGCCAUUUCUCAAAUUACACUAAAUACUCAUAAUAUUCAAUUAAAGAAAAAUAAUUAUGCCCUAAUUUUAACAAAUUCAACUCAAUCUCUCAUUCUAUCCUAAUUCUAAAAUAAGUAAAUCACAUAGUCAAUUCUAUGGCCUUCCUCAUUCCAACACUCAACAAUUUAGAGGGAUUUAUUCUCAUUUCAUUUUAUUUAAAUAGUGAAAACGUCUUUUUACGCGAAAAUCAACACUUUUAGGUGAAAAUUCCCGGUUACUCGACAUUUCACUUAUUUAAAUUGCUAAGCCUACUCUUAAUUCCAAUACCUUUUUACGCGAAUGUCGACAUUUGUAAAUGCCAACCCCCGGUUACUCAGUAUGUGAAUCAUUGGAGUAAAAUAAUAUAUUUUUCUUCAUUUUUUUCUUUAUUUUUUUUUUUAAAAUCCGUUUCUUUUUCCCUCUAAAUAUAAAUAAAGGAAGAAUUUGGCCUUUUUUUGACUAUAUCAAUCACUUACUUAUAAAAUUAAGUAAAAAUGAUAAAUAUCAUUAAUCUUGCAAAAAUCUAAGCAUAAUUUUUCUUAUUUAACCAAAUAUACUUUCUAAAAUGUAAAAAUCUUACUUGCAUAAUAAUUCAUUCCAAGCCAAAUAAGAAUUAAACUUUUCCAAAAUACACAUAGCAUUUUAUCCAAUGGAAGAAUUAAACACUUAAAAUUUUAACAUUUUGGCCAUUUAAUUGGAAGAAUUGCAAUGAAAUAUUGGAAAUUAUUUUAGAAAAAUUUUGACAGAGUUUCCCCAUAAAAAUAGAUGAAACUCCCUGCCAACAACCUCAAUUUCACAAAAAUUAUCCUCAUGACAAUAUCUCCAAAUAUAAUUCCAACAUUUUUAAGCUAUAAACAACUAAAAUCAUGCAUUUCAAGACACAAUCGCCCAUAAGAUAAAGUAAUCCCUCCCCACACUUAAAAUCUACAAUGUCCUCAUUGUAGAGGAAGGUAAAAGAACUGAAACUUCCCUCAAAUAGGUGGUGAUGCCAUUUUGAAGCCCUUAAUCAUCACGAUCAUCCAUUUUCUGUCCAAAAUGAGACAACAAGGGUACCAAAUACCAUAAGUAGCACAAGAUGAUUCAACUAAAAGAAAAAUCUACAAGUGUGUCUUAACAAAAGAAAAGAAAAAUAAAUAAAGACAUAAAAGAUCAAAUCCGCUAAGUAGCGUCAUGGCUGCUCGGAACGAGGGUCUACUGCCUCCUCGGCUCCAUGAGGACCCUGUGAGGUACCAAUAUGGCCCUCCUCCUGAUGAGGUGUCGGAGUAGGGGACCGUCGGAUAUGGAAAUGAUCCUCGAUCGCACGAAGGCGGCGAUCAUGUCGGUCGAGGCGCUCAGUCAUCAUCCGCUCCGUCUGGUCAAUGCGCUCGACGACUCGCGUCUCCAUACAGCAAAUAGCAUUGAGAAGCUCUUGCCACUUGGAGCGCGGUUGAGGAGGUGGUCGCGGAAUCGGAGGAGGAAGAGUCUGCUGUGCCUCCGUCUCUUGAGUUUCCGCUUGUGGUUCAGUGUGAGGCGGAGGCUGAGUGGAAGUCGAUGCUUCUCCUGUGUCCCGGACCAAAGCAGCUCCAAAAUCCGUAGAAAUCAAGGAUUUGAGUAUAGAAGCGUUUACCUCCUCGGCCGACCUAGUUACCACCGAUCUCUCGGUUCCAAGAGGAACCUUGAGCUUCUCAAAAACGAGGGAUAGCAGUCGGGGAAAUCCGAAGCAAGUCUCGCCGGCCCUCAUGCGAGCUGUGGUCCGCAUAUAACUGAUGAUAAUGCUGGGUAGAGGAAUACCAGUCAACUGCCUACCACAAUCCAUGUAUCAUCUUAUCCAGAAAAUAGAGAUCGCUAUUUCGGAUCUCCCGUUUACCACUCUUUUUCGGCACCACAUUAAAGGCAAAAAGAUAGAAGAUCAGGUGGUAACGAUGCUCAAAGGAGUCGGCAUAUACCGUGAGUUUUUUCGAAGUUCCUCGCUCACGGUACUGACCCUUUAGACGCUCCACGGCUUCUCCCACUUGCCAAGGGUCUCGAGCUUUGAAUUCCUUGGUCAGUUUGACAUCUUCGCCUUCGUCUAUUAGUUGAACGAAGCGUCGCAGUGCCUCUCGAUUGAGAACCACUUUCCUGCCUCGAACCCACGAGACGAUGAGGUUGCCACUGUGGCUCUGCUUGUUCUCCACAUUGGCGUAGAACUCCCGGACCAAGUUGGGGUAGUAGUACUUGGGCAACUGAAGGAUGUUCUCCCAUCCAAGUCGCUUGAAUGCUGUCGAAAUGUGGUAGUGCGCAUCCACCUCCGGUGCCAAGUGUUUCUCAAUGAUGAUCUCCUUGGCCAGGCCAGCUUCAUACCACUCUUGGUUUUCGAGCGAUGUGAAUCGUGUGGUAUCGUAGUCUGGCGGUGGCUCAUCACGGCUAGUGGAUGCGGUUUUCCGGCGAGACCGAGGUGGUGGCUCAGGCGAAGGAGAUUCUUCCUCAGGCGACUCCUCAUGCAAAGAAGGUGUAUGUUCUUCACUUGACGAUGGUGUAGGAGUACGAAUACGAGCCCUCCUUGUACGAGCCAUAGCACCUAUAAACAAGAUGAGUAUUUAUUAGAAACGAUAGAAAUCUCUCAUACAUGUUAAUAGGAAUUUAAGAAAAUUUCGGCAGAGUUUCCCCUUGAAAAAGGGCUAAACUCCCUGCCAAAAUGUACCCAAAAUUAAACAAAUAAACUUCCUAACAAUUCUCAAAUCCAAUUCCCACACUUAGAAAGGAUAUUAGCAGUAAGAAAUCAUUUCAUGCAUAUUAAGUGCAAACAAUUUUAAAUUAUAUCCAUUUGCAAGAAUGAACACUCAAACACUUGAGAAUAUCUCCAAUCCAAUUCAUAACACUCGUUAACACUUAAGUUAACUACACAUGAGUCCCAAUUCAUCCAAAUACUAAUUAUUUCAAGUAAAAGUGGUUCAAUGUGCUUAACUUGAUCGGGAACACACACUUUUACCCAAUGGGCUAUUGCUUAGUGAUAGCAUAUCAUUUUCAAUUGGUAUAACAGUGAUUUAUACCUCUCGGAACAAGCAAAAUUCACAAGUUUAAAUCACUAAAAUGCUCAAACCCAAAAAUUGAGAAGCAAAUCUCAAAACUAUCACCAAAUCCAUAAUUCUCUCACAAAUAAGCAUGAAAAUAAUUAUAACAGCUGAUUUGAGCACAAUGUAGCACAAUUAUAUCAAGAAUUUUCAAAAAUUAAGCUAUUAGCAAAAUAUAUUGAAAAACUAAAAAUAUACAAAAAUGAGAGAUAUAAAAUGUCACAGAAAUUCGCAAAUUUGUUACCUCAAAUAGAUGGAGUGAUGAUGGAGGAUGAUAAUGAUGCAAAAAUGGAGAACAACCAAGCCCAAAUUCGACUCAAAUUGCAAGAUUUCAAUUCGGCCCUAAUUUGCUUCUUGAAGAUCAAAACCCCUCAAUUUGAUGUUUUUGAUUCCAAAUUGUUGAGGGUUAAUGCUCACAAGAGGUUAGGGAAGGUUUUUAUUGUGAAAAAUUGGAAUUUUAUGGAUGAAAUGGAAGAUUGGAGGAAAGGGGAUAGGGUUUCGAGAGAGAGAGAAAAGAAAUCUGGAAAAUGAGGAACCGAGGCCUCGUUUCCCUUCUUAUCGCGAACGGAUCCGAGGUCGGAUCAGUUCUGGAAGGCCUCGGAUCCGACAGGGCUCGGAUCAGUCUCAACAGAAACACAGACGAGCCCUCGGAUCUAUCUGGGUUGGAAACGAUCCGAGCUCGGAUCUAUUGAUCCGAGGUCGUAUCUGUCUGGGUUUUCGGAUCCGGCUCGGAUCUAGAUUUCUGCACUUACUGCAGAAACUGCAAUUUUUUUAACUUUUUCUCCCUUUUCCGGCCAAUUCCAAAACACACAUUGGACAAACUUUUUAUCAAUUCUAACCUCCCACGCACAUGCAAUAUACCUUAAACACAAUAUCCAUCCUCUCAAAACACAACAAACACAUUUACAUUGAAAAUCGAGGGGUGAGGUUCUUUGAUCAUUUUUGCAUUUUUACAUCAAAAUGGCAUUUUUGAGCAUUAAAUACACAUCAAAUGAAUCCAUGAACCUUUAUAACCAUAAGGUCGUUGGCAGUAUUGGAGUGGGGGAACUUUUGCAGGGGUGGGGAAGGGGGGUGGCGGGCAGAGGGAGAGAGAGGGAGAGCUUUUGCAGGGGUGGGGAGGGGGGUUGCGGGCAGAGGGGAGCGACGGGGGAGCUUUUGCAGGGGGCGGCGGAGGUAACGGGGAAGAAGAAGAAGAAGAAGAAGAAGAAGAAAAAGGAAAGAAAGAAAAAGAAAAAGAAAGAGAAAGAGAAAAAAAAAAGAAAAGGAAAAAAAAUUUCACCUUCACCUUACAAAAAUUUCUACAAAAUUUUUUCAAAAACUUCUACAGUACACUACAGUAAAGUUUUAGACAAAUUCCCAAAAAACUCAGGUUCCAAACAGGCCCCAUGAUCUCACCAAAACUCACUUGAAUUGCACAAUGUAUGUAUAGGCAUAGAAAUUUUAAGCACUUAAAACACAAUUUGGUAAGAAAAACUCCCUGCCAACAUGUUCUUCAAGUGCACCUCCAAAAUGGAUGAUAAAACUCCCGUAUCUCCUACAAACAAGUGAAAUACAUCUAAUUAGUCAAUUAAAUUACACCAAAAUGUAAGAAACACAUAAAAACACACAAAAACACGAUUAUUAUUGGGUUGCCUCCCAACAAGCGCUUUUGUUUCUAGUCGUUGGCUCGACUCUCCUAUAACUUCUUUAAUUCUCCUUUGCAUUUCCUAAGGAGUAAAUUACCCCUUUAGGAACUUUUUCUCCUGCCAAAUAGGGCUUCAAUCUUUGUCCAUUUACUUUAAAUGGAGAACCAUUUUCUCCUUUUAUUUCCACUGCUCCAUAAGGAAAUACUUGAGUUACUUCAAAUGGUCCCGACCACCUUGACUUUAAUUUUUCUGGAAAUAACCUCAAGCGUGAGUUGAACAAAAGUACAUGUUCCCCUACCUGAAAUUUUUUAGGAAUAAUAUGCUUAUCAUGCCAAUAUUUGAUCUUUUCUUUAUAAAUUUUGGCAUUUUCAUAUGCAUGUAGUCGGUGUUCCUCCAAUUCACUUCGCUCAAGUAAUCGCUUUUCUCCUGCAAAAUUAAAAUCCAUGUUAAUAGAUUUAAUUGCCCAAUAAGCUUUGUGCUUAAUCUCCACAGGUAGGUGACAAGCUUUCCCAUAGACUAAACGAUACGGCGACAUCCCUAGGGGUGUCUUAAAUGCCGUUCGGUAAGCCCAUAGUGUAUCAUCUAGCUUUGUAGCCCAAUCCUCUUGAUUUAUUCACAGUUUUCUCCAAAAUGAGCUUUAUCUCUCUAUUAGCUAACUCUGCUUGUCCAUUGGCUUGAGGAUGAUAUGGAAGUGAUGUCUUGUGCCUACAACCAUAUUUAAACAAUAAGGAAUCCAAUUGUCUGUUACAAAAAUGUUUCCCUUCAUCACUUACUAUGGCCUUGGGUAUACCAAAUCUACUGAAAAUAUUCUUUUUAAGGAAUCUAAGUACAAUCUUAGAGUCAUUAGUAGGUGAAGCGAUUGCUUCAACCCAUUUAGAAACAUAAUCCACUGCUACUAAGAUGUACUUAUUAUUAAAAGAACUAGGAAAUGGUCCCAUAAAAUCAAUACCCCAUACAUCAAAUAACUCAACUUCCAAGAACGUAGUCAGGGGCAUUUCAUUUUUUCGAGAUAUAUUUCCAGUUCUUUGGCAUGCAUCACAAUUUUUAACAUAUUCCCUAGCAUCUCGGUACAUAGUUGGCCAAUAAAAUCCUGAUUGCCAUACCUUUGCCACAGUCUUUGAAGUACUGAAAUGACCACCUGUUUCAAGGUUAUGACAAUGAUAUAAAACAUUAUGUACCUCAUCUUCAGGAAUACAUCUACGUAUCAUACCAUCGGCACAAUGUCUGUAUAGCAAUGGUUCCUCCCAAAAGUAACUUUUGACGUCAUGUAAGAAUUUCUUCUUUUGAUGAUAAUUAAACCCUUUUGAAUCUCUCCACUGACCAAGUAGUUAGCAAAAUCUGCAUACCAUGGAGAAUUUCUAAGUGCUAGGACAAACUCAUCCGGAAAAUUCUCUUGAAUUGGAACCUGAUCUUUGAUUGGGAUAUAUUCCAAACGUGAUAAAUGAUCUGCAACUAGAUUCUCCGAUCCCUUUUUGUCUUUUAUCUCCACAUCAAAUUCCUGCAAUAAAAGAAUCCACCGAAUUAGUCUAGGUUUUGCAUCCUUCUUAUGCAGCAAAUAUUUAAGAGCUGAAUGGUCCGUAUAUAUAAUAACUUUAGAUCCUACUAAAUAGGAUCUAAAUUUGUCCAAAGCAAAUAUCACUGCCAAUAGCUCUUUUUCUGUCGUUGCAUAAUUGAGUUGUGCCUCAUUUAGCAACUUGCUAGCAUAGUAAAUGACGUGCAAUCGUCCUUCUUUCUUUUGUCCCAAAACUGCUCCAACCGCAUAAUCACUUGCAUCACACAUCAAUUCAAAUGGUAGUGACCAAUCGGGUGAAGUUAUAAUUGGGGCCGAAAUCAAUUCCUUUUCAACCUUUCAAAUGCAACCAAACAAUUGUCAUCAAAUUGAAAAGGAGUAUCUUUACAUAAUAAAUCACAUAAUGGCUUUACUAUUUUAGAAAAAUCUUUAAUAAAACGUCUAUAAAAGCCAGCAUGUCCUAAAAAACUCCUUAUCCCCUUGACAUUGCUUGGGGGUGGCAAUUUUUCGAUAACUUCUAUUUUGGCUUUAUCCACCUCAAUUCCCUUGGAGGAAAUCUUGUGCCUAAGACAAUUCCUUCUUUUACCAUAAAAUGGCAUUUCUCCCAAUUCAGUACAAGAUUUGUUUCCUCGCAUCUCUGCAAAAUCAAUUCCAAAUUAUGAAGACAAUGAUCAAAAGAUGAACCAUACACAGAAAAAUCAUCCAUAAAUAUCUCCAUAAUUUUCUCAAUAUAAUCAGAAAAAAUAGCCAUCAUGCAUCGUUGAAAAGUUGCAGGAGCAUUGCAUAAACCAAAUGGCAUUCUUCUAAAGGCAAAAGUGCCAUAAGGACAUGUAAAUGUGGUCUUCUCUUGAUCCUCUGGAGCUAUAGCUAUUUGAUUAUAUCCUGAAAAACCAUCAAGAAAACAGUAAAAUUCAUAUCCAGCUAUUCGCUCCAAUAAUUGAUCAAGAAAUGGUAGGGGAAAAUGAUCUUUUCUUGUUACCGUAUUUAACUUACGAUAAUCAAUACACACUCUCCACCCUACCACAAGUCUAGAUGGAAUUAAUUCAUCAUUUUUACCCACGAUUGUAGUUAUUCCACCUUUCUUUGGUACCACAUGAAUUGGACUAAUCCAAACACUAUCGGAGAUAGGAAAACUAUACCUGCAUCAAGCCACUUAAGAAUUUCAUUUCUUACCACCUCUUUCAUGUUUGGAUUGAGUCUUCUUUGUGUUUCCACCACUGGUUUGCAAUUGUCCUCCAAUAAAAUGCGAUGCAUGCAUAUAGAAGGACUUAUACCUUUAAUGUCUGAAAUUGUCCAUCCAAUUGCCUUCUUACGCUUCUUAGAACUCUUAGCAACUUUGCACACUGUCAUCAUCAAGGUCAGCACUAACAAUUACAGGUAAAGUCUAUUUUCUCCAAGAAAUUCAUACCUUAGAUGAGUUGGAAGUGGCUUAGCUCUAACCUUGGAGGUUCAAUUUCUGAAGGUUGUGAAAACCCUUUUCCUUGGCCAAGACUUUCAUACAAAUUACCCCUUUUAUAAGGUGCUUGAAAAUCCAAGUACUUGGCCAAUUCUUCAAUUUCUUCACAAACAUCUUCUUGCUUACCUAAACUCAUUAAACAAUGCUCAAGAGGAUCUAAGUCAAGGUUGACUUGACUCAUCUCUUGGGUUAGUUUAUCAAUUGUGCCAAUAGAAUAAGCAUGAUCGGUAAAAGAAGGGUAUUUUUCCAUUUCAUUCAAAUUAAAUUCUACUUCUUCUUCACCUACUUGAAACUUAAGCUUGCCAUUUUUUACAUCAAUAAUAGUACCUGCAGUAGCUAGAAAUGGUCUACCUAGAAUAAUUGGCAUAGAUAUAUCUUCUUCCAUAUCUAAUACCACAAAAUCCACUGGAAUGAUAAAUUUUUGAACUUUUAUCAAUACAUUCUCCAACACUCCCAAUGGAUAUCUAAUAGACCGAUCCGCUAGUUGCAAAGUAAUAUUUGUGCGUUUAAGCUCAUGCAAACCCAAUUGUCUAGCCACCGUUAAAGGUAUUAAUGAUACACUAGCACCAAGAUCACACAAUGCUUUAGAAAAAUCAACGUUACCUAUGGUGCAAGGUAUAGAAAAACUCCCUGGAUCCUUCAACUUCGGUGGUAGCUUAUUUUGAAUAAUUGCACUACAUUCCUCCGUUAAUGCUAUUGUUUCGCAGUCUUCCAACUUUCUUUUUCUAGUCAUGAUUUCCUUGAGAAAUUUCGCAUAAGACGGAAUCUGCAAAAUAGCAUCGGCAAAAGGAAUGUUAAUGUGCAAUUGUUUGAAAAGUUUAACAAAUUUUUCAAAAUCUUUAUCAAACUUAUUUUGCUUUAAUCUUUGUGGAAAUGGAACCGCAGGGGUAUUGGAAUGGUAGCGGAAGAUGAUGGUUGAUUUUCUCUUGAUUCUCCCGGCUAUUUUCCUCCACUAUCGCCUCUUGGUUCCUCUGCUUUUCUUCUUGUUUUUCAUUCUCAUCUUUCUCAACUUCCAUCACUGGAGGAUCUUCUAAUUGCUUACCACUACGAAGAGUAAUGGCUUUCACAUGCUCCUUAGGAUUGACCUCUGUUUUGCUAGGUAAUUCUCCUUGAUUUCGAUUAUUCAAAGAACUAGCAAUUUGACCAAUUUGGACCUCUACAUUCCUGUACAUUGUAGUGAGUUGGUCCAACCUUCCUUCUACUCGCUCAAAUCUGUCCGAAGUAACUUUUGCAGCUUUUCCACUGCCAUCUCCCAACCAGGUUUAGUUUCAGCUUGUUGUUGCCUUGAUUGAAAUCCCGGUGGAUUGGUUGGCCUUGGUUGAUUUCCUUGAUCCUUCCAUCCAAAGUUUGGAUGAUUUCUCCACCCCGGAUUGUAAGUAUUCGAGUAGGGGUUAUUUUGAGCAUUACGAUUGUAAUUAUUGACGAAUUGUACCUGCUCAGAAUCAACACACUCAUUAGUAUCAUGUUCACCUCCACAUAUAGAACAACAUGCUACAUGUGCAUUAGAUGAACUUGGACCAACUCCACCUUGUCUACUUAGCAAUUUCAUCACAUUAUUCAUUUGAGCACUCAGCAUAUUGAGAGUGUCCAUUUCUAUCAUACCUGCGUGACGUCUUGUAUUACCUCUCUCAUUGGCCCAUUGGUAGUUAUUUGCUGCCAUUUCUUCUAUCAAAUUAUGAGCUUCUUGGGGUGAUUUACCCAUUAAAGCUCCACCUGCAGCUGCAUCGAUCAUAGUUUUAGUAGAAAAUAAACCAUUAUAGAAGGUUUGUAUGAUUAACCACUCCGGCAGUCCAUGAUGUGGACAUUUCCGAAGCAAUCUCUAAACCUUUCCCAUGCCUCAUAUAAUGAUUCACCUUCCAAUUGGCUAAAACUAGUGAUAUCCAUUCUAAGCUUAGCAGUCUUACCUGGUGGAAAAUACUUAUUUAAGAAUGCUCUUGAUAAAUCAUCCAGUGAAAGUAUUAGGAGCAUGAGAGUGUAGCCAAAGUUUGGCCUUAUCUCUCAAUGAAAAUGGGAACAAUCUUAGCCUUAUAGCAUCAUCACUAACUCCAUUCAUUUUAAUUGUAUCACAAAUUUCCAAGAAUGUAGCUAAGUGUGUAUUAGGAUCUUCUACUGCAUUACCUCCAAAUUGAGAUUGUUGAACCAUUUGGAUAAGUGAUGGUUUAAUCUCAAAGUUGUUAGCAUUUACCGAGGCCUUGCUAUGCGUUUGUGAACCUUGUGUUCCCGGUAAGCAAAAUCUCGCAGAACUCGCCUAUUUGGUCAUUUUCCGCCAUUUCUUCUUCAAAUGGUAAUUCUAUCAAGAUAUCUUCUAUUGGCUGCCAAACCUCUUGUUCCUCUUGAUGCAGUGUAUUCCUCCUUUGUCUCCGCAAUGUUCUUUCAAUUUCAGGAUCAAAAGUGCAACUUCUCUGAUUUGAUCGGUGCAUACACUACAAAUAAAAAUAAGAGAAAUUUUUCAGUUUUAAUUCAACAACUUGAUAAAAACAAUGAAAAUGUCUAAAUUAAUAGAGAUGACUAGGCCCUAAUAUUGCCGCUCCCCGGCAACGGCGCCAAAAACUUGACGGGUUUUUAUAUCAAUGCAAGUUUAAUUCCGAUUUUACACCCGUUGGACUGCAAGUAUACAGGUCGCAAUUGUAGUACAAGAUGUGUAUCGGGUCGAUCCCACGAGGAGCAAUUUAAACAAUUACUAAGCCCUUGUUCUCUCUAUUAUUUAGACUUACAAUUAAUUUGAGCAGAGAAAAUCUAAUGCUGUAAUCUACAAAUCUGAUAUACAAAUCUAGUUUAACAAAUGCUGAAUGCAAAUAGAGAAAUUUCACUUAAGAAGAUUCUAGGGAUGUAGAUUCCACUUAUGGCAUAAACUACACAAAUAAUGGAUUUACUUCUUGCUAUUAUUCUUGCUUAACCAGAGAUUUAUUUCCAAGAUUACCAAGUCUCAUUUUCAUGAUGAAAUGGCUUAGAGCAAUAUAGAUUUCCCUAUUUUCAUGGUGAAAUACUACUACUACUCUGUUUUAUUUCAUGAAAUGCUAAUAAUCCACCUAAGUGUAUCUAUUUUCAUGAACAUACAACUCAAGCUCUACUCAUGUGUUUCCAUUGUUAUUACCAAUUCUCAUUGAAUAAUAACACUAUAAACAAGCUAUUGGUGAUCAAUCAAUAACAAGUAAAACAGCUACACAAGUAGACAAGUUAAUACAAGAUAUAACAAGUGUAAAUCACAUUCAAUUAGUAUUAUUUAGCCAUAAGUUUCAUCUACUCCCUAGAUGAAAGUUUAGCUACUCAUGAAUGAUUUAACAAUCAAACUCACAAGUUUAUUAAUGCAAAACAUCAUAAAGUACAAGUAUAAGAAAGAUAAAAGAAAGCUUAGCCAAUUGAAGGUGAAGCUCUCCAAUUCCUGCUAUGUUCUUGCACAAUAUGAUUACAAGUGAAAACUCAAAAAAUGCUUCUCCAAGUACUCCUAUCUAGAGAGAAAACUUGUUGCAAGAAGGAAAACUAGCUACGUAUGGUAUCCGCUUCUCCCUGUGUUUCUGCAUAAAAGGUGGUAGAAAUUCCAUUCCUCUCACUUCAUAAUUUCCUCCACUCAGAUUUUGUAAAAAGAAGUCAAAGAUAUGAUGUUCCUUUUGUCCACACUCAUUUGGUCUUCUCUUUUAUUGCAGAAGCAUGUGCCACCGAUUUCUGUCCCUCAAAAUAGCUGGAAAAGUUGUGAGAAAGGUAAAGAAAAACGGCUGUGCCACUUGCUGAGGAGAGAGACAGAUCCGAGCCUCGGAUCCGAGGAGUGAAAUGGAUCCGAGCUCGGAUUAUAGGAUCCGAGGCUUCCCAUGAUGGAUCCGAGGUCGGAUCGUCCUGACCUCGGAUACACUCCGCCAGAAGUACAGACGAGGGGUCGGAUCCCUCUUGUACACACGGAUCCGAGCUCGGAUCCGUGUUGAGCAAUUUUCCAGUUUUUCACUUCUUCCCUUUUUCUACAUUUUUGCUCCCAAUUUCUUGUGUACUUUGUCCUCUGGAUGACCCUGACAUUUCUUUCAACUUGUGCAUGAAUUUCAUACAUCAAUUACCUUCACAAUUUCACAAAAUUAACGCAUUAAUCCACUCAUUUAUCAAUUUCUUAACUCUUAAACAAUAUUUAAGCAAUUAUCACCAAAAGAGUUCAAAUAUGGCUUUAAUCUUCUCAAAACAUACCAAAAAUUCAUGCCAAAUUCGUACAAAAUGUACGUUAAAUAUUCACUUAUCAGCUCACACCGUUCCUUUUGUUUUCCUUACAGGCAUAUGAUACUUUGGAAUGAUUCUUGCUAGUUGGUUGCCGAAUGAGCUAAAUGAAUGUCUCUUUUGUAUAGCUUAUGAAUCGAAACCCUAAAUGUACCUUUAGGGCCGUUUCACUUUGGAUUUUGGCAAACCAUACAUGUAGUAACUUUUGUAUCACUUUUGUAUGCCAUUUUGGCUUGUAAAUACUAAAUGUUAUGUUGUAUAUGUAUUUUGAUGUUUGACUGGGUUCUGACGGGUCGGAUACUAUUCGUGGCCGACUCCGGAUUUCAUUUUUUACUUGGGGUUAUUUUGGGGCAUUUUGACUUGUUUACGCGCGUUAUAAGUUCCGGAACGCAAUAGAUCGCUUUAAACUGCACCGUUAGUCCUGGCGAGAGCUAGCAGGCAGCCCGCUAACCCCUUUGGUUCGCCUUAGGGAAAGUGGGCUGUCACAUAUACCACACCAUUCUACACCUACGUGAUAAGUGGCCCCAUUGAGGUUUAAUUCUCUUUUAAAACCUUUUAAUCUCUACCUGACUCUUUGAAAUGCAAUCCUAUUUCAUUUAAACCAUUCAUCUAUAGAAAAAUCAAAAGUCAAGUUCGAUUUAUCUGCUAAGUAUAAGUUUGGAAUCCUGUUAAAGUGGUACAAAUUCAAAGAUGCAAAGUUGAGUUAAUCAUUUUCCAGAACCUUGUAAACUGUAUUCAUUUUUUUUGGGUAAAUGUGUUUCAGGUUUUCAAGGUUUUCCAUUAUUACACUAUAUAGCAAAAGAAAUUAGGAAAUGGCAGUAGGCGGGGGGAAUUUCCCUUGCCCCUCAGUCUCCUACCCGUCCCGCUACCCCACGGAAGCACGUCGUCGGGCUAAUAAAAAUUUGUUAUAUAAUUUCAUUGUAGUCAAUUUGAGCAAAGAAUCAAAUACUUAAAUGCCAACACAUGACCAAGUCAUUAUCCAUUGUAAUUUCAUAAUUGAAACCCAUAAAAAACAAUUAAACAAAAGUAUAUUUGAAUACAAUCCACAUGAUGAAACAAAUAUAACUAAAAUAGUCAAGUUUUCACUUUUGAGAAAACUACAAUCAUUAAGUCAUUAUUGUGUUUUUUUUUCUGAGAAAAAAGUGUUAUGUGUUAAGUGUAAUUACGAAUUUAGUAUAAUUGUAUAUAGUAAUUUAAUAUAACUAAUUAAUAAUUUCUAUUAGUAGACAUGUACUAUUAUUAGUAUUUGAUAAUAUCAACUAUAUUACAAAACUAAUCAUUUAUAUUACAAAUACUAAUAUGCAUUAUAUAAUAUUUAUAACUAAUAUAUAUCAUUAUUAUAAAUUUGUAACAAAUUAAAUUAAAUAUUAUAUAUACAUAUAAGAUUUAAUUUUUUUAAUGGGUGGUGAGGCGGCGGGGUUUACUCCCUUGCCCCUGCCCCAUUUUUUAACGGCGGAAAAAUCCCUCCCCGGCCCAUUAGCCGUGAUCAUCCGACCUAGUUGCCAUCCAUAAAAGAAAUUCUUGGCUAUCAACUUUGAUGAUAUAUCUACUGAGUAUAUCGCACCAUUCUACUCAAACCUAUUGUGAUAGGUGGCCACCCAUUGAUUUUUAAUUCUCUCUUAAAACUUUUUAUGCUCUACCUAACUCUCAGAAAUGUAAUCUCAUUUCAUUUAAACCAUUUAUAUGCAGAAAAUCAAAAGUCGACAUUGAUUUAUCUGCUAAGCACAAGUUCGGAACCUUGUUAAAGUGGUACAAGUUUGAAAAUGCAAAGUGGAGUUAAUCCUUUUCCAGAACCUUAUUAAAUGUGUUUCAUUUUGUUAGGUAAAUGUGUUUCAUGUUAACAAGGUUUUCCAUUAUCCCAUUAUAUAUGAAAAGAAAUUCUUAGGCUAUGAACUUUGAAUGUAUAUAUGCUGAUUACACCACACCAUUCUACACAAACCUAUUGUGAUAGAUGGCCACAUUGAUGUUUAAUUGUCUUUUAAAACUUUUUGUGCUAUACCUAACUCCUUGACUCCAUCCUAUAAAUAUGGUCAUUGAACAAAUUAUCUUCACCAUCUAACAUUUGUUUCUUCCUUCUUUGUUUUUCCAGCAAGCCUUUCAACAUACAAAAUGGCAAAAGGUUUCAGCUUUAACAUCCAUCCAAAUUUCCCUUUUGCUAUUAGUAGCAAUCUUUGUUUGUUCAGAAGCUAAUCAUCGUGACCGUGAUUAUUGCUGCGGUGGAAAGGAAACAAAGAUUACUGUGUACCUUCAACUGUUUUCAGGCGGACCAAAUGCCACCACUGUCGCAGUUGCCGGCGCCCCUGGUAGGCCGAGAACUCCCACCGAAUUUGGAACCAUUUAUGUUAAUGAUUCUCCCUUUACAGAAAGCAUCAGCAUCAAUUCUCCAACUGUUGGUCGAAGCCAAGGCCUUUAUGUAGCUUCAUCCCGUGAUGGACUUUACUCAUUUGACCCAUUUUCCUUCAUGUUCACCGACGGACAAUACAACGGUAGCACUUUGGAAUUCCAAGGACUAGGAUAUAGCAUACAAAAUACUUCGGUGACUGAAUUUUCAGUACUUUCUGGCACCAAAAUAUUUAGGUAUGUUCGUGGAUAUGCAACCUUUCUGGCAGUUCGACAAAUACCAGCAAGGAAUUAUACGGUUACAAUGGCCAAUAUUACCAUAAGGCGAUGCUGAGGAGGAUGGGAAGUUUGAAUAAUAAAGUGAAAACCAAUAAUUAAGAAAGCCAAUAACAGAUAUUUAGUUUUAUUUCAGACCAUAUACGUACGUGGUGGUCUCUGUUUCUUUAUGUACUUCUGGUUCAUUCGACUAUCUUAAUAAGAACUCCAUCCGGGAGGAUGGGAAAAAAUAAAUAAUAAAAGUUGUUAAAAUAUGUCUUUGACAUCCAUGUGAAAUCAUUUAUGGUGCUGUCAAAUUUUGAGAGCUACAUGGACAUUUUUUUUUUUUACCUCUUGAGCAUCCUAGCAUAUAGCCCAACUAUUGAGUUGUAUGUUUUAUUAGUCAAAUUCGUAGCAGCCAUUUCCAUUCAAAUACUAUUCGUUCGAAGGCUUUCACAUGGAAGAAUUUCUCCUAUGAAUAGAGGGUUUGGCAAGGCAGUUGGUGUGGCACUUCUUUUUACGUCUAACCUCUUCUCAUUUUGAGUUUGCGUUUUUUUGUUUUCCAUUCACACUGUUGCUUUUCCUCUAGCAUUAAAUGCUGAUUGUCCUUUCAAACAACCCUAGUUUUGUUUGGAUUUUGAUAUGAAAAAAAAAAUCACACAAGUUUACUUUAAUCAUCUAUUUUAUUCUGCGGAACUCUAACCCAAUGAUGCUGCUCAUGUAUUGCCAAACAAAAACAGCAUAAUCAUCUUUCAUUGCCAACACACAAGCUGGGACAUUAAAGUUGAAGAUAAUUUUCGAAGCUUUGGUUGGAAAAAAAUGCUACGAUACCAUGUUAUUAGUCCAUGCUAUAUUCUCAUAAUUUCUCAUUUAUGAAUGAACGAAUAUCGGAUGCACAUUUUUUAUGAUGAACUUGUAAAAGUUCUUGCAAGAUAAAAUAAUAACCAUAAAAAUUACACUUUUACUGUUCAAUACUAUACUCAUAUUCUGCUACUUCAGCACAUAUAUGCUAUAUUUUUAUUAACAUUAAACUACAUUUUAUACAGUAACCUACCAACAAUUCUCUCCAAUUAUCCUAAUUUAAUAAAAAAUAACUAGCUCACAAUUAUUUUACAUAUUAUAAAAUUAUUUCCAACAUCAAUACUUACAAAGCAAACUUUACAAAAUAUUUUCAGACAAACAUACUAUUAACACGGGUCAUAUGCUCACCCUGUGCGUAGCGCAGCCUCAGACUAGUAGAAAUUAUAUUGAAAGUCAACUAGCAAUAUAAAUUAUUGCUUCAAGUCUAUUUGCUUUAAAACAUUAAUCAUUUACGCAUACAUUAAGAGAUCAUAUAAUUCUUUCUGGCUGCGUUUUGAUUUUAAAAGCAUGGCUUUGACCUUUCUGUUCUUAAUUGUUGCUUGGUUCCUUUAAAUAUUCUCUUUUACAUCAUUUGUUCUCGGAUCAGCAUCUAGAAACUUGGAUAGUGAAAGUUAUAUUGUACCAAUGAAGUACAAAGUCCUCAAUCAGGCAGUCUUCAAGAUAUCAGUGUUGAGUCGUUCACGUAUUGAUCAGUGUUGAUUGUUCAAAGUAAUAUUUAACAAUUCAUCCUUUCUUUCUUCUCGUAAUCCUCACCUUUAAAGGUUUGCGGAGUUGAAGACGGUGACGUACUAAUUAAUCAACUGCAAAGUCCAAAGGAUUUGACUAACGGUUACAUACUCUCGUUAUAAGUGUUUAUAUUUUUACAAGACUAUAAUUAAUUCGGGAAAGCCUCGAAAUGCUAGGAUUGUAGUAACGGUAAAUAUAUGUAUUCAUAUAAUAAGUUAUGUGUAAUUUAAAUAUACUAACGAGUUACUACUAGGCACCCAUUAGAAAAUCAAAGUUCAAAUAAUAGAAAAUAAUUUGUUUUUUCAUUAUCGAAUCAAAUAAGGAUUUAGCCUAACAUUUAGGACAAAUAGUGGAUAACAUUUAGGACAAACCACAAUAACAAAAAAGAAAUUUUAUCUAAUGAUACAAUAUUUUAUAUUCAUUCUCAAGUUAAAUAGAGAUUUAGCAUGAAGAAAUUACUGAAGUAAAGAAUUGAUUUUAAAAGGUAGGAUAUGGGGUGUAGCUGAUUGGUGAAAAAAUCAAGCUUUACUUUUGCUUAUGGUGUUAGUUACUAACUACUAGGAUUAGAUUCCGGAGGUUGAAUUUGAUAAAGUUUUUGUACUUACGCCCUGUUUGAUAACCCAAUUCAACAUUUAAAUUUAAUAGAUUCGAUUUUAACAUAUUUAAAUGCACUUAAUAACUAAAAAUUGAACAUUGAAUUAAUUAAUAUUAAACAAAAUUGCUUCCAAAUAAUGAUAUAAACUAUUUACUUAUCACUUAUUAUGAUAUAUAUUCAAAUGUAUCAAAUUUAAUACUUAAUAAUUCAGUAACUUAAUGGAUUCAAACUUUGGUUCUCAAUUUUUAGUUUUCAGCCUUCAGUUUUAUCAAACACACUCUUAGAAUCUGAUCAAUUAGAAGUGCCACGCUUUUCUAAGAUAAUUGCCGAUUAAAACUGCUAAUUUACUGGUUUCCCUAGUUAGGCACAUAAUGAAAAUGAAAAUGGCAGAAGAAAAAUUUUGAAGUACCAUAGUACAACUACUAGCAUGACUAUCAAUAAUCUCCAUGUAAUUAGUUGAAACAUAGGAAAAAAUACAGAGAAGAUAGCACUUAUGAACAAUUUUAAUAACCAGGAAAAAAAUAUUCAUUUUUCUUUUUGUCAAUUUAAUAAUGGUUUGACCGGUUCAAGAUUUUCGCUUAUUUGCUAAAUUAAUCGCUCUGAACUAACAACCAGAGAGUAAAUUGACUCUUUCAGGUACCAAUGGUUGCUUGAUUUAGAAAUCAAUACUAAAUAUAAUUCUCUUUCUUGCUUCUUUUGGCUUUUGAUAUCUAAAAAAUGAAAACCUAGAUAGCUGAAAUUGAUAUUGUCUGCCAAAACCGAAGUGAUUGGUUGUAUUUAUUAGCACUAGGAAUGGCAUUUCUCCUCAAAAUUGAUACCUUUUUUUUAACGUUUGUUACCUACAUUAUUCAUUGGAUGUCAUUUGCGGACAUGAUUUCGAAAAGUCCAAUUUAAACUGCAUUAUUGACUCAAUCGAAUAUUAGAAUAGGCAAGGAGCCCCGCACCUAAAACACAGUGGGAAGACUUCAGCUUUUUAGUCUCCCAUCUCAACUUCGAAGCUUUUUAGUCUUCUGACAUUUUCUUACGAAAGUAAAAAUUCGGCAAAUAAAUCUAAAUUCCCGAGCAAUCUUCAAAAGUCGGCAACUUUUGAAGACGUCCAGAGGACUUAUCUAUCCAAAUCCCAUCCCCCCAAGACCGAUGUGGGAUUCAAAAGCUUUUUAGUCGAUCUUCAGCCUUUUAGCUUUUCAGACUUCCAUCUCAACCUUUUCCAUCAAUUUGACCAAGAUGUCAUUAGUCUUCUCAACGUCCUUUCCUAUCAAUUCUUAUUUCUUAGUUUUCCUUGUGAACAACUACCAAUUCCAUGUGUUUAGUCAACUUAGCUUAAUAAUAAUAAAGAUUAAAAAACUCCGCUUUAACUAUGAAUCUGUCUAACGAGUGCAUAAGAACACAAUAAUGCUGUAGUAAUUUUCAAAUAAAAAUUUUAGAUAAAAAUUUCAAUUUUUGCUUUGUUUGCAUCAUACACACAAUUUCCAAUACCUAUCUCACAUACAUCACAUCACAAAAAAUGCUAUAUUAAUUUUUUCAAAUAAAUAUUUCAAAUAACUUCCUAUUCAAACAAAAAUUUGAGUGGACCUGCAAAUGUUUAUUUGGGGCGAAUAAGGGCACAAAGAGCAUUAUCUGUUAUACCAAGUGCUGUAGAAAUAAAAGCGUGUUAGAAAAUUUUGAACGUCUUAAGCAAGAUAGUAAAAUUUUUUUAUUCAUAUAAUCUUAAACUCUCAAAAUUUCACCAUUGAAUAAGGGUUAUAGCACGUAGUAAUUAAUAGCAACUCUUGCCUUUGGCAGAUAUGUAAUUUUGCCUCUCAUUGACAUCUGCCCUAGUUUUUUAAAUGAAAAGGAAGACGAGACUAGAACCUUUUGAACCUUAACUAUCGGUUUUUUUUUUUGCCCCAUCAGAGGAAGGGGUGGAACGUAAGAAGCGGGGAAAAGGUAUGAGAAUUAAAAUCCAAGACCUCUAAUUCUUGAAAUCUGAACUUGUUAGGUUAAUUUUAGAGAAAAUCGUUCAAAACGUCCUUUACAUUUUACAAAAUGACUUUUUUUGUCCCUCACUUUUAAAAGUGUAAUUUUAUAUCCCUUCCAAAUUCACAUUGACCAAAUUUGAUCUCUACGUAGGUUUCCGACUAGUUUUUGGCCAGAAUCCACCACAUGACUUGCAUGUGAUCAUUUUUUGAGGGCAAAAUUUUAAAUCAAAUUUUUCCAUAAUUUGAUUCAUUGUCUCUCACAUUUCACAAAAUGAAUUUUUUCGUCCCUAACAUUUUACAAAAUGAAUUGUUUCGUUCCUCAUAUUUCAAAAAAUGAAUUUUUCCAUCCCUCACAUUUUUCAAAAUGAAUUUUUUUCAUCCCUCAUUGAUCAUGUGUACGAAUAGCUUUUUUCUAUAAACCCACGUAUAUGUCUAUUUGAUUUUACCUGAACAGUAUGAAUAACAUGUAAUUUAUUUCUAUUGGAUUUCAUCUAAACAUGCUAAUCAUAGCUAUACACAUGCUAUUCAAUAGAUGUAUAUAGGGGUUUAAAACUAAUAAUUUUGUUUGAAACCCACGUAUAUAUUUAUAUGAUUUCAUCAUUUGAACCUAUUCAAUAUUUGUGACCUUUCUCUUUUGGUAAUAAUUUAUUUAUUGAGUUGUAUAAUAAGGUCAUCUAAUUAAUAGGUUCUAACUCGAAUUCUAUAAUUGUGCUAACAAAUUUCAGUUUAAAUCUGAAAUUUCUACUCGACAUUUUUAAGACCAACAGUUGAAUUACUUGCCUUGUGAUUGUCUUAAUUUGAAAGUGCCAAUCACUUAUUUCUUUUUGUCAUGCUUUUCUUUUGUUUACUUUUUCUAUCCAAAUUUAAUUCGAUAUAAACACUCGAUAAUAUUUAGGAUUAAAUGUCAUCUUUAUUUUCAAAUUUCGAGUAAAAGAAAAUGAAUAUAAGUGAAAAACUAACAUUUUUUAAACACAUGUAUAUAUCUAUUUGAUUUCACUUGAGCAGUACGAAUAGUAUGUAAUAUAUCUCUAUUUGAUUUCAUCUGCUAUUCGUACUGUUCAAGUGAAAUCAAAUAGAUAUAUACAUGGAUUUAAGAAAAAUUUUGCACACACAUGUGAUAAGUGACUAAUUUACGUAAUAAUUGUAUGACAUUUUAUAUUAUUUUUAGUCACUUUGGUUAUAUUAUUGGAAGAAUAUGAAUCAUUUUGGCUAUAAUUGGUGAAAAAUGCUUUUAAGUGAUUAAAUGAGGUUUUUAUCACUUUUUACUUGGAUUUUGUGUAUUUUGACAGUUUUGACACAUUUUCGUAUUUCGGCUAUAACUUGAGUUACAAUGAUCGGAUUGGGAUGAUUCUUGAACCCAUUUGAAGAUAAGAGAUAGAUCUACAACUUUGGUGAAGACAUCUAAAUCCAGUUUGAAGGUUUUCCAGGUCAAAAUGCCGAAUUACAAUAGCAAAUUUCUACUGGUCGAAACUGGAACAGGGCAAUGAGCAGGUAAGGGUAUUUCAGUCAUUUCUCAGCCUACACAGAUCCAAAUGAGGUGAUUCUUGAUGCAUUGGAAAGCUAACUCAAAGGGCUACAAGUUUUAUGUUUUGGUCAAGAGCUAAAUCAGCUUUUAUCAUCAAGAAAAGAUCGGUUGAAGUUGGGCCAAAAACAGAGCAAGUGAUCCACACUCGGAUCCACUAUUCAUCCGAACCCUCGGUUGUUUCUGGGUUAGUGGAUCUGAGCUCGGAUCCAUACGGAUCCGAGGUACUGUAGCAGCUCGGAUCACUGGUCAGAAAAGGCUGCUCUGUACGCGUAAAACUCAAUUUCACUUCCACCAACUCACAUUGGAUGCUAGACAUGUGAGAAACAUUCCCAGCUGUAAAAGGGAGAUGUAAUCCUCAUUUCUUGACCACCUUUCAUCAUUAAAUAGCCAAAUUCAUUGCAAAAAAGGAGAUGGGGAGUUCAUAGCAGAAAAAGAGAGUGAGCUACGGGAGAGCUUGAAACUGCAGAAAUGUAGCUCUUUCAUCUCCCUAGUGUUAGUUUAGCUUAGUAUAGAGUAGUGUAGCUUUCCAUUCUUGUUUAUUAUCUAGAUUAGGAUGAAGAUGGAGGAUGAAGAAGGCAAGGAAGAAAGCUCAUGUGACAAGGGUUGUAUUCCUUCCAAACUCUUUAUCUUUUGUAUUUGAUUCCAAGUUUAGUUAAUAUACAAGUUCUGGAUUUUGUGUUCAUUAUGUGUUUCUAAAGUUUAUACCUUGGGUUUGGUUGAACUUUCUAUAAUUGUUAGUGUUUAUUAUUUGGUUAUUUGACUGCUAUGAUUUGAGCAAGUUAUUUAGCACUUUAGCUCUUGAAAUCAUGAUUAAUCUGGUACCAUUAAUUGUGAUUAUCUAAGGUGUUGUUUCUGCAAUGAAAAUUGAGAUUUAACACUAGUUCAAGAAGUGCUAAACAUAGGGAGUACACUCACGAAAGUAGAGGUGCACUUAUGUGGUUUUUAGUGAUUCAUUUCAUGUAAUUUCAUUGAAGAAAUGAACUUGUAGCUAAUUUCAUAACCAUGAAAAUAGGUAUGGAUUAGUUAUGAGUAUAAUUGAUUCACUACGAAAGUAGGAUUCAAAUGCAUAAGGAAAUUACACCAUAAUUAGCCUAGAUGUAGUAUUCAAUGAUCCAAAUAUAACACUUGCAUUAGUAGUUAGGGAUACCACAACCUAAGGAGCUUUCAUUUGUUAUUUUCUUGUAUAAUUUCAGUAGGUUUUAAUUUGUUAUAAUUCAUUGAUAGUCUAAAUAAUAGAGAAGCUUUAGUAGUACCGGUAAUUGCAAUCUUCCUUGUGGGAUCGACCCUUAAUACCCUAUACUCGCUCACGAUUCGUAUACUUGCGAUAAAUCGCGUGUGGGGUAUUUAGGAGUUUAUAAAUGUAAAACUUGAUUAGGAUGAGUUUAAUUGUAUAUGUAUACUCCGCGCACGUCAAGUUUUUGGCGCCGUUGCCGGGGAAGAUUUGGCAAUAUCGGUGUGAAGAACAACUUUAUUAGUUUAGACAUUUUAUUAGUUAUAGUGUGAAUGUUAUUUUCUGUUAUUUUAGUGUUUUUAUGUGUAUGUGUUUUAUAACUUAUUCUUCUUACUAAUCUUGCUCUUAAGUUGUUUAAAAGCAAUUUUAGGUGAUGAGAAGCGUAGGUCAAUUUGGAGGACAAUGCUUGAGAAAUGGAAGAUUGGUAAUGGAUGGUUACCAAGUGCAAAGCUCCUUUAAUAGAGGUAACCAAGAAUUUACUGAAUGUAUGUCUUUUGAAGAUGGUUUAAGGUGCUUAAAGGCAAAAUUUGAUGUAAUUAAGUUACAAGUUCAAAUGGACACCAUGAUGCAUGAAAUUGAGCAGAGGAGGAAUGUUAAUGUUUUUAAUUCUUAUCAUGUGAUUUGUGACUUGUGUGGAGGUUAUCAUGCUACUAAUACAUGUAUGCAAGCACAAAAUGUGGAUUAUUAUUAUGAAUUAGAGCAUUACAAUCCUUGUUUUGAUCAAUAUAGUGCUAAUUGGAGCAAUUCUCCUGCUUAUGGUUGGGAUAAUCAAUGUACUUAUAAUAAUUCUUCAUAUUUUUACGAUUACCAACCUGAAUGUGUCCAAUAUGAAUCAAAACCAUCUUGGGAGUUGGCAAUAGAGAAGUUAGCUAAUGCACCUCUACCUUGGGAGUUAGAAAAUGAACCAUUAGCUAAUGAUUCUAAUGCAUCUUGGGAGCUAGCUGUAGAAAAUUUUUCUAAUCAAUUUGAUUUAGCCACAGAAAAGCUAGCAAAUGCAACCUCCGACCGUUUUGAUAGGAUUGAGGAAAGGUUAGAUGAAUUAGCUUCUCACUUUGGUGAUAUACAUGAGCAAUUGAGUGCAUUGUGUGAAGUUAUUUCUUCUAAUAAUUUGCAAAAUGAUCCUAGCAUGAAUGGUGGGAAUGUUGUAUGUGAAAAUGGGUUGCAUUUUGAUGAAAAUGAUGAAUCUCAAUUGUGUUUCAAUGAGCAAAUGUCCAUUUCACAUGAUAAUAUCUUUGGAACUAACUUUGAGCCUCAAGAGGUGAGUUUUAAUGACUCAUUUUCACCCCUCUUGAGGAGUGCAUUGAAAGUAUAGGUUCUAAAGGUAUUCCUGCUCAAGAUACUCUCAUGACAUUUCCUUUGGUAAGUUCUCAAGUGGUGCAUAUUCAAGGUAAUAUCUAUGAAACACUUGGAAUAUGUAAGUCACUUCCAUCUCUCACAUCAUUAGAUCAUGUGGCUUUUUCUAUUAAGUCACCUUACAAUGAUCCACCAAGGCCUAAAAUGGUGGAUUAUUCGUUAACUAAACCUCCUUGAAAAAUGAGGAGAAAUAGUCAAGCUAUUGACUUUAAAGAAGCGCUUAUUGGGAGGCAACCCAAUGCUUGUUUAAGUUGGUGUUACUUUGGAGUGAUUUUAUGUUUAAAGUAUAAGUUUGAGUAAUUUUGUUGUUUUUCAUUUGUAGGUUUUGGAAAAGUGACCAAAUGAGGUGAAAAAGGCGAAGUUUGAUCAAAGAUCUCAAUACCUCAAAUUCAGUAAUUGUAAAUUUUGAUGCAUUAAAGAGGUUUAGAAUGCAUGUUUAGAUCAUUUUACAUGUGCGUGAAUGAUUUAUUUUGACAUAGAAAUGAUCUAGGGUGUAUUUUGAAGAAUUGAGGUCAAACUGAAAAUUGCAAAAAUUCUGCAAUAAGUGCAGAUUCAAUGGAUCCAAGGCCUCGGAUCCAUAUGGAUCCAAGGCCUCGGAUCCACUUCUGCAAUCAGAGAAAAACUUCGAGCUUCUUGAUCCGAGCUCGGAUCCAUAUGGAUCCGAGGCCUCGGAUCCACUUCUGCAAUCAGAAAAAAUUUGAGCUUCUUGAUCCGAGCUCACUUAUCAUGAUCCGACCUCGGAUCCUUUCAAAAACGACCUCGGAUCCUUUCCAAACGAAGCCUCGGACCACUUUUCUUCAUUCUUCCCUCUUUUUCCUCCUUCAACUCCACUUUUCUUCUUGUUGGUUGCAAGCUUUUAUUCUUAAGAAUUGUAUUUUUGUUUUUUUUUUUUUUUUCAAGGUGCAUUAAUUGAAGUCUCCAUUCUUUCAAGUAAAGUUGGAAAUUCAUCACUUGGACAUGGAUUCGGAUUGCGCAAGUCAUAAGGGGAGUAUUUUCUUUUACUCUUUCUUUAUUUUCCUUUUCUCACAUUGAGGACAAUGUGAAGUUUAAGUGUGGGGAGGAAAUAUGUGAACUUGCAUCUAAUAAUGCUAUGUGAUGAUAUUUUGUGGAUUUAAAUGCUUAGAAAUAUUGAAAUUGUGUUUGAAUUAUUUGCCAUGUGGAUAAUUUGCCUGAAAUUGGGUUUGUUGGCAGGGAGUUUUCUUCCAUUUAUAUGGGGAAACUCCGUCAAAAUUUGUUGUCUAACAUCUUGUCCAAUAUGUCACUAUGGCCCAAAAGUUCUUCAAAUUUUUGCAUUUUCAUUCAAAAAGGGCUAAUUUGUUCCAACUUUAAAUGUUUAUAUUCUUCCAAUUGUUGAAACUUUAUAUGUAUGUUGGAAGGUUUAGUCCUCAUUUAACUUGGAAAUAGUAUUAUGCAAUUAGAAUUUUUACAUUUUAGAAAGUAUAUUUGGUAAAGUGAGGAAAAUUAUGCCUAUAAUUUUACAUGUUUAAUGAGAUUUCUUCUCUUUACUUAAUUUUGCAAGUAAGUGAUUGAUAUAGUCGAUAAAGGUUAUAUUCCUCCUUUGAUUAUUCUUAUAUAUUUUCUAAGAGGGGUUAUCUAUUUAUUGUCGUUUAUUUCUGAAAAAGAAAAAAAAAAGUAAAAAAAAAAAGAAAAAAAAAGAAAAAAGAAAAAAAAAAGAGAAAGUAAAUAAAAAUUGUUCUACUCCAAUGAUUCAUGUACCGAGUAACCGGGGUUGGCAUCAACAAAUGUCGACAUUCGCGUAAAAAGGUACUUGAAUUAAGAGUAUGCAUAGCAACUUGAAUAAGUGAAAUGUUGAGUAACCGGGGAUCUUCACCUAAAAGUGUCGAUUUUCGCGUAAAAAGGCAUUUUCACUAUUUAAGUAAAAUUUGUGUGAAUAAAUCCCUCUUAGUUAUAGAAUUUUGAGAAAAAGAUGAUUAUAGGAGGAGGAAAGCUAUAAAUUGACUAUGUGAUUUGCUUAUUUGUAAAAUUAAGUUAGGGUAAGAGAUUAAGUUUAACUUGUUGAAUUUAGGGUAUAAUUAUCUUUCCUUUACUUGAUAUUAUAAGUAUUUAGUGUAAAUUGAAUAAUUGUAUAAUGAUUAUUUUCCAAGUCUUGAGGAAUUAAAUUGGACAAAGUGCAUAUAUUGUUUCACCUCUUGAAUCAUUGCAUUUGAUUAUGUGUGAAUUGGCUUGAGGACAAGCAAUGAUUUAAGUGUGGGGGAGUUUGAUAAGUGACUAAUUUACGUAAUAAUUGUAUGACAUUUUAUAUUAUUUUUAGUCACUUUGGUUAUAUUAUUGGAAGAAUAUGAAUCAUUUUGGCUAUAAUUGGUGAAAAAUGCUUUUAAGUGAUUAAAUGAGGUUUUUAUCACUUUUUACUUGGAUUUUGUGUAUUUUGACAGUUUUGACAUAUUUUCGUAUUUCGGCUAUAACUUGAGUUACAAUGAUCGGAUUGGGAUGAUUCUUGAACCCAUUUGAAGAUAAGAGAUAGAUCUACAACUUUGGUGAAGACAUCUAAAUCCAGUUUGAAGGUUUUCCAGGUCAAAAUGCCGAAUUACAAUAGCAAAUUUCUACUGGUCGAAACUGGAACAGGGCAAUGAGCAGGCAAGGGUAUUUCAGUCAUAUCUCAGCCUACACAGAUCCAAAUGAGGUGAUUCUUGAUGCAUUGGAAAGCUAACUCAAAGGCUACAAGUUUUAUGUUUUGGUCAAGAGCUUCAGCUUAUCAUCAAGAAAAGAUUGGUUGAAGUUGGGCCAAAAACAGAGCAAGUGAUCCACACUCGGAUCCACUAUUCAUCCGAACCCUCGGUUGUUUCUGGGUUAGUGGAUCGAGCUCGGAUCCAUACGGAUCCGAGGUACUGUAGCAGCUCGGAUCACUGGUCAGAAAAGGCUGCUCUGUACGCGUAAAACUCAAUUUCACCUCCACCAACUCACAUUGGAUGCUAGACAUGUGAGAAACAUUCCCAGCUGUAAAAGGGAGAUGUAAUCCUCAUUUCUUGACCACCUUUCAUCAUUAAAUAGCCAAAUUCAUUGCAAAAAAGGAGAUGGGGAGUUCAUAGCAGAAAAAUAGAGAGUGAGCUACGGGAGAAGCUUAACUGCAGAAAUGUAGCUCUUUCAUCUCCCUAGUGUUAGUUUAGCUUAGUAUAGAGUAGUGUAGCUUUCCAUUCUUGUUUAUUAUCUAGAUUAGGAUGAAGAUGGAGGAUGAAGAAGGCAAGGAAAAGCUCAUGUGACAAGGGUUGUAUUCCUUCCAAACUCUUUAUCUUUUGUAUUUGAUUCCAAGUUUAGUUAAUAUACAAGUUCUGGAUUUUGUGUUCAUUAUGUGUUUCUAAAGUUUAUACCUUGGGUUUGGUUGAACUUUCUAUAAUUGUUAGUGUUUAUUAUUUGGUUAUUUGACUGCUAUGAUUUGAGCAAGUUAUUUAGCACUUUAGCUCUUGAAAUCAUGAUUAAUCUGGUACCAUUAAUUGUGAUUAUCUAAGGUGUUGUUUCUGCAAUGAAAAUUGAGAUUUAACACUAGUUCAAGAAGUGCUAAACAUAGGGAGUACACUCACGAAAGUAGAGGUGCACUUAUGUGGUUUUUAGUGAUUCAUUUCAUGUAAUUUCAUUGAAGAAAUGAACUUGUAGCUAAUUUCAUAACCAUGAAAAUAGGUAUGGAUUAGUUAUGAGUAUAAUUGAUUCACUACGAAAGUAGGAUUCAAAUGCAUAAGGAAAUUACACCAUAAUUAGCCUAGAUGUAGUAUUCAAUGAUCCAAAUAUACACUUGCAUGUAGUUAGGGAUACCACAACCUAAGGAGCUUUCAUUUGUUAUUUUUUGUAUAAUUUCAGUAGGUAAUUUGUUAUAAUUCAUUGAUAGUCUAAAUAAUAGAGAAGCUUUAGUAGUACCGGUAAUUGCAAUCUUCCUUGUGGGAUCGACCCUUAAUACCCUAUACUCGCUCACGAUUCGUAUACUUGCGAUAAAUCGCGUGUGGGGUAUUUAGGAGUUUAUAAAUGUAAAACUUGAUUAGGAUGAGUUAAUUGUAUAUGUAUACUGCGCACGUCAAGUUUUUGGCGCCGUUGCCGGGGAAGAUUUGGCAAUAUCGGUGUGAAGAACAACUUUAUUAGUUUAGACAUUAUUAGUUAUAGUGUGAAUGUUAUUUUCUGUUAUUUUAGUGUUUUUAUGUGUGUGUUUUAUAACUUAUUCUUCUUACUAAUUUGCUCUUAAGUUGUUUAAAAGCAAUUUUAGGUGAUGAGAAGGUAGGUCAAUUUGGAGGACAAUGCUUGAGAAUGGAAGAUUGGUAAUGGAUGGUUACCAAGUGCAAAGCUCCUUUAAUAGAGGUAACCAAGAAUUUACUGAAUGUAUGUCUUUUGAAGAUGGUUUAAGGUGCUUAAAGGCAAAAUUUGAUGUAAUUAAGUUACAAGUUCAAAUGGACACCAUGAUGCAUGAAAUUGAGCAGAGGAGGAAUGUUAAUGUUUUUAAUUCUUAUCAUGUGAUUUGUGACUUGUGUGGAGUUAUCAUGCUACUAAUACAUGUAUGCAAGCACAAAAUGUGGAUUAUUAUAUGAAUUAGAGCAUUACAAUCCUUGUUUUGAUCAAUAUAGUGCUAAUUGGAGCAAUUCUCCUGCUUAUGGUUGGGAUAAUCAAUGUACUUAUAAUAAUUCUUCAUAUUUUAUGAUUACCAACCUGAAUGUGUCCAAUAUGAAUCAAAACCAUCUUGGGAGUUGGCAAUAGAGAAGUUAGCUAAUGCACCUCUACCUUGGGAGUUAGAAAAUGAACCAUUAGCUAAUGAUUCUAAUGCAUCUUGGGAGCUAGCUGUAGAAAAUUUUUCUAAUCAAUUUGAUUUAGCACAGAAAAGCUAGCAAAUGCAACCUCCGACCGUUUUGAUAGGAUUGAGGAAAGGUUAGAUGAAUUAGCUUCUCACUUUGGUGAUAUACAUGAGCAAUUGAGUGCAUUGUGUGAAGUUAUUUCUUCUAAUAAUUUGCAAAAUGAUCCUAGCAUGAAUGGUGGGAAUGUUGUAUGUGAAAAUGGGUUGCAUUUUGAUGAAAAUGAUGAAUCUCAAUUGUGUUUCAAUGAGCAAAUGUCCAUUUCACAUGAUAAUAUCUUUGGAACUAACUUUGAGCCUCAAGAGGUGAGUUUUAAUGACUCAUUUUCACCCCUCUUGAGGAGUGCAUUGAAAGUAUAGGUUCUAAAGGUAUUCCUGCUCAAGAUACUCUCAUGACAUUUCCUUUGGUAAGUUCUCAAGUGGUGCAUAUUCAAGGUAAUAUCUAUGAAACACUUGGAAUAUGUAAGUCACUUCCAUCUCUCACAUCAUUAGAUCAUGUGGCUUUUUCUAUUAAGUCACCUUACAAUGAUCCACCAAGGCCUAAAAUGGUGGAUUAUUCGUUAACUAAACCUCCUUGAAAAAUGAGGAGAAAUAGUCAAGCUAUUGACUUUAAAGAAGCGCUUAUUGGGAGGCAACCCAAUGCUUGUUUAAGUUGGUGUUACUUUGGAGUGAUUUUAUGUUUAAAGUAUAAGUUUGAGUAUUUUGUUGUUUUUCAUUUGUAGGUUUUGGAAAAGUGACCAAAUGAGGUGAAAAAGGCGAAGUUUGAUCAAAGAUCUCAAUACCUCAAAUUCAGUAAUUAUUUUGAUGCAUUAAAGAGGUUUAGAAUGCAUGUUUAGAUCAUUUUACAUGUGCGUGAAUGAUUUAUUUUGACAUAGAAAUGAUCUAGGGUGUAUUUUGAAGAAUUGAGGUCAAACUGAAAAUUGCAAAAAUUCUGCAAUAAGUGCAGAUUCAAUGGAUCCAAGGCCUCGGAUCCAUAUGGAUCCAAGGCCUCGGAUCCACUUCUGCAAUCAGAGAAAAACUUCGAGCUUCUUGAUCCGAGCUCGGAUCCAUAUGGAUCCAGGCCUCGGAUCCACUUCUGCAAUCAGAAAAAAUUUGAGCUUCUUGAUCCGAGCUCACUUAUCAUGAUCCGACCUCGGAUCCUUUCAAAAACGACCUCGGAUCCUUUCCAAACGAAGCCUCGGACCACUUUUCUUCAUUCUUCCCUCUUUUUCCUCCUUCAACUCCACUUUUCUUCUUGUUGGUUGCAAGCUUUUAUUCUUAAGAAUUGUAUUUUUGUUUUUUUUUUUUUCAAGGUGCAUUAAUUGAAGUCUCCAUUCUUUCAAGUAAAGUUGGAAAUUCAUCACUUGGACAUGGAUUCGGAUUGCGCAAGUCAUAAGGGGAGUAUUUUCUUUUACUCUUUCUUUAUUUUCCUUUUCUCACAUUGAGGACAAUGUGAAGUUUAAGUGUGGGGGAGGAAAUAUGUGAACUUGCAUUCUAAUGCUAUGUGAUGAUAUUUUGUGGAUUUAAAUGCUUAGAAAUAUUGAAAUUGUGUUUGAAUUAUUUGCCAUGUGGAUAAUUUGCCUGAAAUUGGGUUUGUUGGCAGGGAGUUUUCUUCCAUUUAUAUGGGGAAACUCCGUCAAAAUUUGUUGUCUAACAUCUUGUCCAAUAUGUCACUAUGGCCCAAAAGUUCUUCAAAUUUUUGCAUUUUCAUUCAAAAAGGGCUAAUUUGUUCCAACUUUAAAUGUUUAUAUUCUUCCAAUUGUUGAAACUUUAUAUGUAUGUUGGAAGGUUUAGUCCUCAUUUAACUUGGAAAUAGUAUUAUGCAAUUAGAAUUUUUACAUUUUAGAAAGUAUAUUUGGUAAAGUGAGGAAAAUUAUGCCUAUAAUUUUACAUGUUUAAUGAGAUUUCUUCUCUUUACUUAAUUUUGCAAGUAAGUGAUUGAUAUAGUCGAUAAAGGUUAUAUUCCUCCUUUGAUUAUUCUUAUAUAUUUUCUAAGAGGGGUUAUCUAUUUAUUGUCCUUUAUUUCUGAAAAAGAAAAAAAAAAAAAAAAAAAAAGAAAAAAAAAAAAAAAGAAAAAAAGAGAAAGUAAAUAAAAAUUGUUCUACUCCAAUGAUUCAUGUACCGAGUAACCGGGGGUUGGCAUCAACAAAUGUCGACAUUCGCGUAAAAAGGUACUUGAAUUAAGAGUAUGCAUAGCAACUUGAAUAAGUGAAAUGUUGAGUAACCGGGGAUCUUCACCUAAAAGUGUCGAUUUUCGCGUAAAAAGGCAUUUCACUAUUUAAGUAAAAUUUGUGUGAAUAAAUCCCUCUUAGUUAUAGAAUUUUGAGAAAAAGAUGAUUAUAGGAGGAGGAAAGCUAUAAAUUGACUAUGUGAUUUGCUUAUUUGUAAAAUUAAGUUAGGGUAAGAGAUUAAGUUUAACUUGUUGAAUUUAGGGUAUAAUUAUCUUUCCUUUACUUGAUAUUAUAAGUAUUUAGUGUAAAUUGAAUAAUUGUAUAAUGAUUAUUUUCCAAGUCUUGAGGAAUUAAAUUGGACAAAGUGCAUAUAUUGUUUCACCUCUUGAAUCAUUGCAUUUGAUUAUGUGUGAAUUGCUUGAGGACAAGCAAUGAUUUAAGUGUGGGGGAGUUUGAUAAGUGACUAAUUUACGUAAUAAUUGUAUGACAUUUUAUAUUAUUUUUAGUCACUUUGGUUAUAUUAUUGGAAGAAUAUGAAUCAUUUUGGCUAUAAUUGGUGAAAAAUGCUUUUAAGUGAUUAAAUGAGGUUUUUAUCACUUUUUACUUGGAUUUUGUGUAUUUUGACAGUUUUGACACAUUUUCGUAUUUCGGCUAUAACUUGAGUUACAAUGAUCGGAUUGGGAUGAUUCUUGAACCCAUUUGAAGAUAAGAGAUAGAUCUACAACUUUGGUGAAGACAUCUAAAUCCAGUUUGAAGGUUUUCCAGGUCAAAAUGCCGAAUUACAAUAGCAAAUUUCUACUGGUCGAAACUGGAACAGGGCAAUGAGCAGGCAAGGGUAUUUCAGUCAUAUCUCAGCCUACACAGAUCCAAAUGAGGUGAUUCUUGAUGCAUUGGAAAGAUAACUCAAAAGGCUACAACUUUCGUGUUUUAGGCAUGAGCUGGUUCAGCCUCUAACAUCAAGAAAAGAUCGGUUGAAGUUGGGCCAAAAACAGAGCAAGUGAUCCACACUCGGAUCCACUAUUCAUCCGAACCCUCGGUUGUUUCUGGGUUAGUGGAUCGAGCUCGAUCCAUACGGAUCCGAGGUACUGUAGCAGCUCGGAUCACUGGUCAGAAAAGGCUGCUUUACGCGUAAAACUCAAUUUCACCUCCACCAACUCACAUUGGAUGCUAGACAUGUGAGAAACAUUCCCAGCUGUAAAAGGGAGAUGUAAUCCUCAUUUCUUGACCACCUUUCAUCAUUAAAUAGCCAAAUUCAUUGCAAAAAAGGAGAUGGGGGUUCAUAGCAGAAAAAUAGAGAGACUACGGGAGAAGCUUGAGUCUGCAGAAAUGUAGCUCUUUCAUCUCCUAGUGUUAGUUUAGCUUAGUAUAGAGUAGUGUAGCUUUUCCAUUCUUGUUUAUUAUCUAGAUUAGGAUGAAGAUGGAGGAUGAAGAAGGCAAGGAAGAAAGCUCAUGUGACAAGGGUUGUAUUCCUUCCAAACUCUUUAUCUUUUGUAUUUGAUUCCAAGUUUAGUUAAUAUACAAGUUCUGGAUUUUGUGUUCAUUAUGUGUUUCUAAAGUUUAUACCUUGGGUUUGGUUGAACUUUCUAUAAUUGUUAGUGUUUAUUAUUUGGUUAUUUGACUGCUAUGAUUUGAGCAAGUUAUUUAGCACUUUAGCUCUUAAAUCAUGAUUAAUCUGGUACCAUUAAUUGUGAUUAUCUAAGGUGUUGUUUCUGCAAUGAAAAUUGAGAUUUAACACUAGUUCAAGAAGUGCUAAACAUAGGGAGUACACUCACGAAAGUAGAGGUGCACUUAUGUGGUUUUUAGUGAUUCAUUUCAUGUAAUUUCAUUGAAGAAAUGAACUUGUAGCUAAUUUCAUAACCAUGAAAAUAGGUAUGGAUUAGUUAUGAGUAUAAUUGAUUCACUACGAAAGUAGGAUUCAAAUGCAUAAGGAAAUUACACCAUAAUUAGCCUAGAUGUAGUAUUCAAUGAUCCAAAUAUAACACUUGCAUGAGUAGUUAGGGAUACCACAACCUAAGGAGCUUUCAUUUGUUAUUUUGUAUAAUUUCAGUAGGUUUUAAUUUGUUAUAAUUCAUUGAUAGUCUAAAUAAUAGAGAAGCUUUAGUAGUACCGGUAAUUGCAAUCUUCCUUGUGGGAUCGACCCUUAAUACCUAUACUCGCUCACGAUUCGUAUACUUGCGAUAAUCGUGUGGGGUAUUUAGGAGUUUAUAAAUGUAAAAUUGAUUAGGAUGAGUUUAAUUGUAUAUGUUACUCCGCGACGUCAACAUGAUCAAUAAAAGAUGAAAAAAUUCAUUUUAAAAAAUGUGAAUGAUGAAAAAAUUCAUUUUGUGAAAUGUAAGGGAAAAUUUUUAUUUUAUGAAAUGUGAGAGAUUAUGAAUCAAAUUAUAUAAAUUUCAUUUGACAAUUUUGCCUUAAAAUUGAUCACGUGCAAGGCACGUGGUGAAUUCCGACCAAAAACUAGUCGGAAACCUAAGUAGGGACCAAAUUUGACCAAUAUGAAUUUGUAACGGACGUAAAAUUAUAUUUUUAAAAGUGAGGGACGAAAAAAGUUAUUUGCAAAAUGUGAGGACGUUUUGAACAAUUCUCCGCUUAAUUUUAAAUUCAUAUCAAACAUAAUUUGUCAAUAGAGGCAUACCGUUUUGCAUUAGAUACAAAAAUUAAAAUGUUCUAUUUGCAGUUUAAUUAUCCUUUGUUUCUGCAUAAUUUGGUAAUUGACUUGAUAGAUUCAAGAUGUUGGCUACUUUGCUUUAAACACGUUGAAUUUUGUAGAAGUCAAAAAUUAACCCAAAAAAUUAUACGAUAUAUAUUUGAUAAAAACUCAUGUGUAGGAGAAAAGAGGAAUAAAUAUCAACACAUAUAUCGUUAAUUAUAUAUAAUAACAAGACUCUCAAAUUUCACUCUUUUCAACUAACCAUAUAAUAGGACUUCUUAUUUAUAGACUAGAUAACUUGUUACACAUAAUAACAAGACUCUUAAAUUUUACUCUUUUCAACUAAUCAUAAUAGUAGGACUCUUUAUUUAUAGAUUAGAUGAUUUGGUAAACACAGUUAUACAACUGCAAGAAAUUUUUUAAUAAAAUAAAACUUCCUAAACACUAAAACUACUAUAACUUGACUUCAACAAAAUUACUAAAAACUUGAUUUGACUAAAAUACUACCAAAUAACAAUAUAGAAACUUAUAUUUUUUUAGGCUUGAUUUAGUAUGCCAAUAUUGCUUUCCUUAAAUCAAGCUCUCUAUUGAAUUACGUUCAUUGCAAUCACGAACAACAAUCUCCUUUGUAAAUUUUGUUAACAUCAAUUUGAAUUCUUCAUCUUCAAAGGUUUUUUUUGCUGCAAUACUCCACACUCCUAGACAAAUUUAUCUGAUCGCUCGAUUUAUUUUGACUCAUUAAAAUAAUCCAUGUUUCCGGAUAGACUGUUCUCAUCGCACAAUUUGAUAUCAACCUAUUAACAAUGCACUUUGUGAUUUUAAUAAUCACAACUCAACGGACAGGAUUCUGCAAUCUCUGUUUUUCCACCCAUAAUCAAUCUGAAAAUUCUCUUAAACCAAUAUUGUAGCCCAAUCUUCACCAACUGGAUACUCCAUGAUCAAUCUUGUGGUCUAACUCAAUCAACUGAGUGUAUUUCUUGAGUGUAUUUCUUCCUUUGGUCCUUCAUGUCACAUGAUUUCCACAUUAAAUCAUCAGCAAUCAUGCAAGCAUCUCCUCACUUCCCUUCAAUUGAUGAUUGAAUUAUCAAAACCUAUAAAAAAAACAUGAAAUUUCCGCACUUAAGUCCAUAGAAAUGUGAGUUUUCUCACUUAACCACAAAAUGCAAAACUUAACUUAAAAUCUAGUUAUUCAACUUCAACUUAAAUGAAAAUACACUAAAAUGCACAUAAAUAACCACUUACAAAUAUGCAAAUCAAGCACUUAUCAUUUACCUUGCUCUAUCAUAUAUGCAUCUUGUAUCUUUAUAAUCAUUCUUCCACUAUUCUUGUAAUUCAUCAUUACCAAUCACUCUGGAAAGAAUAAAAUGUAAAGGCUACACAUCUACGAAUAAAAAAAUUGUGAUUUUCGGUGUUCAUUUUUGACUAAUACUCUAUUUUUUUAUUCAGGCCAAUAUAGUAUAAAUAGUAUCUAAUAUUGGUUGAAACUUUCUUUUGGUGGUCCUCUGUUUCCUUUUGGUAUAGUGUUUACUUAAUUGUAAUUUUAAGUCAUAUAUAUCGUACACAAAUGCAACGAAACUCUAUACUAGCAGAAAGAGGUAAAAGUUGAUUUGUCAUGGAAGAUUUGUCUAAAUGUAAUUGAAGGGGUCAGGAACUAAGUAAGUUAUAUAUGUUGGUGGUAAAGUAACAAUUAUUGUUAAAAGAUUAUUGUCCUACAUAUAUUUUCAUAACAAUUUUUUUAGGUGUGGAGGGGCUUUUCUUUCUCGCCCCCGCUUGGUACGUCCUUGUCCGAUUGAGAUUACUUCAAAAGAAAUAUUUCUGGUCUGAAAAUGAGAAGUUUCAUUUUGUUGCAUACAUAAAUCAUUAUACACUGUCAUUAAAAAAUUUUUUUUUGAUAUGCUACCAAGUCUAAAUGUACGGUAGUCUUUAUUUUUCAUAUUUUUAUUUUACAUAUGAUGUGCAUCCAACUUGCUUUAUGUAAAAUAAUCUUUUACUUAGUUUAAGAAAAUGUAAUCCUUCUCCUAUUUAACCACCACAACUAAUAAAAGGUGACAAAAGCCCUUUUCAUCUAUUUUUUCUUAACAUGGUUAAGAACUUCUGUUUUAUUGAGCAUUAAACUAAAAGUGCAAUUCGCCAUUUAGAUGGUCAAGAUGGAUAAUGGUUUGGCCACAGAAUGGUUAGUUAAGUCCUUAUAAAACGGGAAGAAUGGAGUACCAUGUUAUCAGGAAAGUCAACUUUUGAGCUCUUCAUCAAAUUUACUGCUGAAUCGUAGAUAAACAUAUGUGGAUUGGAUGGAGCAUCAUAUUAUCAGGAAAGUCAACGUUUGAGCUUUUUAUUAUUUUUACAGUAGAUGAAAUUCUUGACUAUCAACUUUGAAUGAUAUAUUUGCUGAGUAUACCAUUCUAUACAAACCUAUUUUGAUAGGUGACCACCCAUUGGCAUUUAAUUCUCUCUUAAAACUUUUUAUGCUCUACCUAACUCUUAGAAAUGUAAUCCUAUUUCAUUCAAACCAUUUAUACGCACAAAAAUCAAAAGUCAAGAUUGAUUUAGCUAUUAAGUGUAAGUUAACCUUAUUAAAGUGAUAGAAGUUCAAAGGUGCAAAGUGGAUUUAAUUCUUUUUUUCAGAACCUUGUCAAAUGUGUUUCAUUGCUUUUUAUUUCUUUUUAGGCAAAAGUGUUUCAAGACUUCAAGGUUUUUCAUUAUUCCACUAUAUAACAAAAGAAAUUCUUGACUAUGAACUUUGAAUGAUAUAUCUACCGUGUAUACCACACCAUUCUACACAAACCUACUGUGAUAAGUGGCCACCCAUUGAGGUUUAAUUCUCUUUUAAAACCUUUUAAUCUCUACCUGACUCUUUGAAAUGCAAUCCUAUUUCAUUUAAACCAUUCAUCUAUAGAAAAAUCAAAAGUCAAGUUCGAUUUAUCUGCUGAGUAUAAGUUUGGAAUCCUGUUAAAGUGGUACAAAUUCAAAGAUGCAAAGUUGAGUUAAUCAUUUUCCAGAACCUUGUAAACUGUAUUUCAUUUUUUUUGGGUAAAUGUGUUUCAGGUUUUCAAGGUUUUCCAUUAUUACACUGUAUAGCAAAAGAAAUUAGGAAUGGCAGUAGGGCGGGGGAAUUUCCCUUGCCCCUCAGUCCUCCUACCCGUCCCGCUACCCCACGGAAGCACCCGUCGGGCUAAUAAAAAUUUGUUAUAUAAUUUCAUUGUAGUCAAAUUUGAGCAAAGAAUCAAAUACUUAAAUGCCAACACAUGACCAAGUCAUUAUCCAUUGUAAUUUCAUAAUUGAAACCCAUAAAAAACAAUUAAACAAAAGUUAUUUGAAUACAAUCCAAUAUGAUGAAACAAAUAUAACUAAAAUAGUCAAGUUUUCACUUUUGAGAAAACUACAAUCAUUAAGUCAUUAUUGUGUUUUUUUUUCUGAGAAAAAAGUGUUAUUGUGUUAAGUGUAAUUACGAAUUUAGUAUAAUUUUAUUAGUAGAUUUAAUAUAACUAAUUAAUAAUUUCUAUUAGUAGACAUGUACUAUUAUUAGUAUUUGAUAAUAUCAACUAUAUUACAAAAACUAAUCAUUUAUAUUACAAAUACUAAUAUGCAUUAUAUAAUAUUUAUAACUAAUAAUAUCAUUAUUAUAAAUUUGUAACAAAUUAAAUUAAAUAUUAUAUAUACAUAUAUAGAUUUAAUUUUUUUAAUGGGUGGUGAGGCGGGGGUUUACUCCCUUGCCCCCUGCCCCAUUUUUUAACGGCGGAAAAAAUCCCCUCCCCGGCCCAUUAGCCCGUGAUCAUCCGACCUAGUUGCCAUCCCUAAAAGAAAUUCUUGGCUAUCAACUUUGAAUGAUAUAUCUACUGAGUAUAUCGCACCAUUCUACUCAAACCUAUUGUGAUAGGUGGCCACCCAUUGAUUUUUAAUUCUCUCUUAAAACUUUUUAUGCUCUACCUAACUCUCAGAAAUGUAAUCUCAUUUCAUUUAAACCAUUUAUAUGCAGAAAAAUCAAAAGUCGACAUUGAUUUAUCUGCUAAGCACAAGUUCGGAACCUUGUUAAAGUGGUACAAGUUUGAAAAUGCAAAGUGGAGUUAAUCCUUUUCCAGAACCUUAUUAAAUGUGUUUCAUUUUUGUUAGGUAAAUGUGUUUCAUGUUAACAAGGUUUUCCAUUAUCCCAUUAUCUAUGAAAAGAAAUUCUUGGCUAUGAACUUUGAAUGUAUAUAUGCUGAUUACACCACACCAUUCUACACAAACCUAUUGUGAUAGAUGGCCACCCAUUGAUGUUUAAUUGUCUUUUAAAACUUUUUGUGCUAUACCUAACUCCUUGACUCCAUCCUAUAAAUAUGGUCAUUGAACAAUUAUCUUCACCAUCUAACUAAUUUGUUUCUUCCUUCUUUGUUUUUCAGCAAGCCUUUCAACAUACAAAAUGGCAAAAGGUUCAGCUUUAACAUCCAUCCAAAUUUCCCUUUUGCUAUUAGUAGCAAUCUUUGUUUGUUCAGAAGCUAAUCAUCGUGACCGUGAUUAUUGCUGCGGUGGAAAGGAAACAAAGAUUACUGUGUACCUUCAACUGUUUUCAGGCGGACCAAAUGCCACCACUGUCGCAGUUGCCGGCGCCCCUGGUAGGCCGAGAACUCCCACCGAAUUUGGAACCAUUUAUGUUAAUGAUUCUCCCUUUACAGAAAGCAUCAGCAUCAAUUCUCCAACUGUUGGUCGAAGCCAAGGCCUUUAUGUAGCUUCAUCCCGUGAUGGACUUUACUCAUUUGACCCAUUUUCCUUCAUUUUCACCGACGGACAAUACAACGGUAGCACUUUGGAAUUCCAAGGACUAGGAUAUAGCAUACAAAAUACUUCGGUGACUGAAUUUUCAGUACUUUCUGGCACCAAAAUAUUUAGGUAUGUUCGUGGAUAUGCAACCUUUCUGGCGGUUCGACAAAUACCAGCAAGGAAUUAUACGGUUACAAUGGCCAAUAUUACCAUAAGGCGAUGCUGAGGAGGAUGGGAAGUUUGAAUAAUAAAGUGAAAACCAAUAAUUAAGAAAGCCAAUAACAGAUAUUUAGUUUUAUUUCAGACCAUAUACGUACGUGGUGGUCUCUGUUUCUUUAUGUACUUCUGGUUCAUUCGACUAUCUUAAUAAGAACUCCAUCCGGGAGGAUGGGAAAAAAUAAAUAAUAAAAGUGUUAAAAUAUGUCUUUGACAUCCAUGUGAAAUCAUUUAUGGUGCUGUCAAAUUUUGAGAGCUACAUGGACAUUUUUUUUUUACCUAUUUAGCGUCCUAGCAUAUACCCCAACUAUUGAGUUGUAUGUUUUAUUAGUCAAAUUCGUAGCAGCCAUUUCCAUUCAAAUACUAUUUGUUCGAAGGCUUUCACAUGGAAGAAUUUCUCCUAUAAAUAGAGGGUUUGGCAUGGCAGUUGGUGUGGCACUUCUAUCACCAGAGACGUAAACUCAUUUAGGGAAUUCUCUCCCUUUUGCGUAGUGUUGAGUUUUCUUGUUCAGUCUCUUUCUUAUUUUGGGACACCACAAUUCCAAGACACGAGAGCUCCUUUGGAAAAUCUUCCUUUUUGUGAUAUAUUGAAUACUCUCCUAUUUUGUCUCUUUUUUUGUUUGGGUUUUAGGAAUUAACUUGGAAUUCUCGGUGACAUGUUUUCUAUGCCAACCCAAUAUCACCUAUAGUAUUGCACUAAGUGUUCUGUUAUUAUUUACACUUUAAUUUUCUAAUAAUUCAACUUGGUUUGGUUUCACUUGGGAUCCUCGGUGACAUAUUUGCAAUGCCAAUCCACUGCCACCUAUAGCAUUGCGCCAAGUGUCCUGUUAUUAUUUGUACUUUAUUUUUUAAUAAUUCAAAUUGGUUUGGUUUAACAAAAUUUUUCUCUACCUCUACAACUUUGAACCAAAAUUUAACCAACCGGUCUAAUUUCACUUGGUUCCUUUUGUACGGCAAUCACUGGGAAAAAGAAAAAGAUAACCCUGCCACACCAUUGCCGGAGAGAGUCCAAACCUUUUCAUCGUUGAUUGCUUUGAACAAAGUCAAAGAAAAAAAAAAGAUGAUAUUCUAGCUUCCCCAAGAAACCAGUUCAAAGAAUUCAUCCAGACAAGCAAGACAAAUUUAAUUGUAACGAUUGGUGGUUGCUAGGGUGCUUUCUCGAGCAAAGAACUAACCAGAACGUUUCACAUCAUUCAGGUAAUUAUCCA